GGCUGCGAGCUCGUCCGCAAUUCCCUUAAUCCUGAUGAAGCACGCGGCUACAGAGAGGUCGCCCUUGCGCGUGUUACCAAGGGCAGAACGGAGCUGGAUAGUUCUUGCCCAAGACUUUGAGGAGAAGCUUUCAAGUAAAGCUCUCCAGAUUGUAGCAACAGUAGUGUAGUUCAAGACCUGAAGUAAAACUUCACGGGAUAGAGAUGCAAGCAGGAACAUAAGCACCUAUUGAUCCUGAAUUACCCAGAUGGCAUGCUUGGGAUUUGGCAUGGUGAUGACCUCCUUCUUCCCGACGACAUCCUUCUCGCCAAGAAGAACAGCAGCUCGCUCCUGGAUCGAUCAGGUAGGCAAUCAUCCCUGCUGNNNNNNNNNNNNNNNNNNNNNNNNNNNNNNNNNNNNNNNNNNCUGCUGAACUGAUGUGCGGAAAUACCUGUGCCCUCCACACUAGAAAGUUCUCUCUCGUGAGCUUCUCGGUGAUAGUCUGACCAAGCGAUGCAAGGCUGUCGACAUGGCAAUGGGAGUGGAGGAGGUCGACACAGCUAGAUGUGUUGGGAGUACCAAGCUAUGUAUAACAUGUGAAAAAGGAGCCUGAAGCAUAUGCCUAUGGGCAGAGACGUGUGCGUGUUAUAUAUGCAUGUAGGAAAGCGGAUAGAUUACAUGAGGUUAAGGAGCGGUUUGGCAUUGGAUUGAUCUACAAGGAAACUAGCUAUAACUUAGGAUCAGAUCACAAUGGACCGACCUCCUGAUUAAAAGACAUGCGCGUACAAGUCCUAGCUACAUACGGUUUAUAUCACACCGUAUAAAGAAUGUUCAACAUGUCGAUCACUCACUAAGAAGAUGGCUGCCUCUCCCACGAACGCGUUGCCAGAGUAGGGAAGCCAGCGUCUUCCCAAAAUUGCUGGACGAGCUCGGCUUCCGUCUUCCUCCUCCGGCCAACCACCAGAAUCCACUCCGUGCCAAUCCCACCAUCGUCGAGCACGUCCAUGGCCAUCUAGCUCUCGAUAGGAGGCGCAUAAUUCUCAUCAGAUGAGAUGUACUCAACGCCGAGGCACAACUAUCUUGAUCCACUAGAGCAUCCUGUAGUGGAGAGCGAUGUCGGCGAGGCCAGCGGAGGCGGCGACUCCGACUUGCCCCGUGGCUUGCCCCAUGCAUCGCGGGGUCAAUAGCUCUUGUGCGGAAUGUUUCCUGUGAAUUGGUGAUACGUCUCCAUCGUAUCUAACUUUCCAAACUCUUUUGCCCUUGUUUUGGAAUCUAAUUUGCAUGAUUUGAAUGGAACUAACCCGGGCUGACGCUGUUUUCAGCAGAACUGCCAUGGUGUUGUUUUUGUGCAGAAAUGAAAGUUCUCAGCACAUCCUGAAAAUUUACGAAGAUCUAUCAUGUAAUCGAGUUAGUUUUGACGGGGAUUUAUCCCUAGUAUCCACUAUGUUCUGAGAUUGAUGUUGCUACUACUUUGCCAUGCGUAAUGCUUGUCACUAGGGCCCGAGUGCCAUGAUUUUGAGAUCUAAAAUUAUUAUGUUGUCGCCAAUAUAUGUGUGUUUUGGAUCCGAUCUUGCAAGUUGUAGUUACCUACUAUGUGUUAUGACCCGGCAACCCCGGAGUGACAAUAACCGGAACCACUCCCGGUGAUGAUCAUAGUUUGAGGAGUUCAUGUGGUCACCAAGUGCUAAUGCGUUGUUCCGGUUCUUUAUUAAAAGGAGAACCAUAAUAUCCCGUAGUAUCCUUUUGGACCCCACUGCCACGGGAGGGAUCGACAAUAGAUGCCAUGCAAGUUCUUUUCCCUAAGCACGUAUGACUACACACGGAAUGCAUGCCUACAUCAUAUUGACGAACGGGAGCUAGCCACAUAUCUGUCCAUGUUAUAACUGUUGCAUGAUGAAUAUCAUCCAAACGAAUCGCCGACCCAUUGGCUAUGAGUUUGUCCCACUGCUGUUGUUACUUGUCUUGCUCUGCUGCUACUGCUGUUACUACUGUCGCUUGCUAUUGCUGUCUCUUGCUACUGUUGCUACUUGCUACUUUUCUCACUAUUGAUGUUCCUUGCCACUGCUAUUACUCGUUACACUGCUGCUACUUGCUACAAUUUGGUUCGCUGGUCGUUGACGGGAACAGACAAUUUCCGUCAACGGGCAACUUCUGGCGCCAUUGAUAAAAUCGUUAGGAAUAGUCUACCAUCAACAGAACGUUUCUGACACCGUUGUUAUCAUACUACUUUGCUGCUGACACUUUGCUUGCAGAUACUAAUCUUUUAGGUGUGGUUGAAUCUGACUCAUUCAUCUGCUAAUACUCGAGAGUAUUCUCUCACCUCAUGUCUGGCGUAUCAACAAAUUUGGGUCGAAUACUCUACCCUCGAAACUGCUGCGAACCCACACGUUGGUGGGCCAUCAACAACAUUCUUCUAGUUUCGUUGUCGGGGAGUGCUAGCAGCAUUCUUCUGGUGCCGUUGCAGGGGAAGGUCUGUUGUCACAGAGUCAACAUUUUUCUGGCGCCGUUGCCGGGGAGGUAUUACUAUAUUCUCUGGGUCACUUGGGAUUUAUAUCUGCUGAUCACUAUGAAGAAUCUGAAGGAUCCAAAAAUCAAAAUCUUGCCCUCAACUACGAGAGGAGGUAAGGAACUGCCAUCUAGCUCUGCACUUGAUUCACCUUCAGUUAUGAGUAAGUUUGCGAGAUCACCUCCUCCUAGAAAUCUUGAUAUGUUGCAUGUUCUUGAUGAUGCUUAUGAUGCUACUAUGCCUGAUACUUCUAGAGAUGCUAUGCUUGAUACUGCUAUAGAUUCUAUACGUGAUACUGCUAUCCAUGAUGCUAUGCUUGAUACUGCUUCGCCUGAUGAUGCUAGAGAUGCUAUUUUGCCUAAUGAUGGUAUGCUUGAUACUGCUAGAGAUACUACUUUGCCUGAUAUACCACUAGGGGUAUUCCUUGAUGCUCAUAUUGCUAGAGUUACUACCAAUGCUCGUGAUGCUUCUGAAACUGCCGAUACUAUUGAGAUAGAACCUGCUUUUGCUCCUGCUAGAUCUAGCUCUCCUAGAUAUGAAUUGCCUGAUAUACCUGAUGGUUACGUUAUGGAGGGAGAGAUAGCUGAGGAUUUUCUUGCGUGUAAGGAUGCCUAUGACGCUGAGAAAUUACUUCUCAAGUGGAAGGAAAAAUCUCUAAAAGCUAGGAUGAAAUACGACCUGAAGUUUGCCAAUUCACCUAUCUUUAUCACCGAUAAGGACUAUGAAUUCUCUGUUCAUCCUGAUAUAAUCCCUCUAGUCGAAUCUGAUCCUUUCCACGGUUAUGAGUCUGAGACGGUCGUAGCCCAUCUUACCAAACUACACGAUAUAGCCACCCUUUUCACUAGUGAGGAGAAGAUCCGCCACUACUAUAUCCUUACGCUGUUUCCUUUCUCUCUAAAGGAUGAUGCUAAAGCCUGGUUCACUUCUCUUGCUCCUGGAUGUGUGAGUAGUCACCAUGACAUGGUAUAUUACUUCUGUGAGAAAUAUUUCCAUGCCCAUAAGAAGCAAGCUUCCUUGCAGGAAAUAUACAACUUUGCUCAACUCAAAGAAGAGAGUCUCCCACAAGCUUGGGGGAGGCUCGUCUAGCUACAGAACGCUUUGGCUGAUCACCCUCUUAAGAAGAACGAGAUACUUGAUAUCUUCUAUAAUGGACUUACCGAUGCUUCUAAAGACCACCUAGAUAGUUGUGACGGUUGUGUUUUUAGGGAACGAACUAUAGUACAAGUUGAGACUCUACUGAAUAACAUCUUGAUCAAUGAUAAUGCUUGGACUAUUCCCGAACCACCUCCUAAGCCAACUCCAAAGAAAAGAGGUAUUCUAUUCCUCAUUCCCGAAGAUAUGCAAGAAGCCAAGAUAUCUAUGCAAGAGAAAGGCAUUAGAUCUGAAGAUGUCAAAAAUCUACCAACCUAUCGAAGAGAUCCCUGGUCUCGAUAACCCGAUACAGGUAGUGGGAGUAAAUUCUCUGCGUAGGUUUGAUGAGAGUGAUAUUCCUUUUGAUAAACCUGCUAGCCUAUGCUUUGAUGAAUUUGACAACUUUAUUGCCAAACAACAGAGUUUCAAUCAUUAUGUUAGCAGACAUUUGGAACAAAGUACUCGUAUGCUUAGUCAUUUAAGUGCUUGUGUAGACAGAAAUGUCAAUGAUCUGAAGCUUUUGAGUAAACAUGCCUCUAUGAUUAAUACUCAGGUAGAACAUGUACUUAAAGCUCAGAAUGACCUGCUCAAUGAAUUAAAUGACAACUCUGUCAGAGUCAUUACUAGAGGAGGCAAAAUGACUCAGGAACCUUUGUAUCCUGAGGGUCAUCCUAAGAGAAUUGAUCAAGAUUCUCAAGGAAUUAAUGCAGAUGCACCGAGUCAUCCUAAGGAGAAGAAGAAGGAUGAUAGAAACCUGCAUGUUAGUUCACCAAAUACAGUCACACCUGAAGAACCAAAUGAUAUUUCUGCGUCUAAUGCAGAAACGCAAUCUGGUGAUGAACAUGAACCUGGUGACAAUGUGGACAGCGAUAUUCAUAAUGAUGCUCAACCUAGGAAUGAUAAGGAUGUGGAGAUUGAACCUACGAUUAAUCUUGAUAACCCACAACCUAAGAGAUAUGAUAAGAAUGACUUCACUGCUAGGAAGCAUGGUAAAGAAACGGAGCCAUGGGUUCAGAGACCUAUGCCCUUUCCUCCUAAGCCACCCAAGAAAAAGGAUGAUGAGUAUUUUUAGCCCUUUAUUGAAUUGAUAAGACCCGUCUUUUUGCAGAUGCGGUUAGUUGAUAUGCUCAAAAUGUCUCCGUAUGCCAAGUACAUGAAUGAUAUCGUGACCAAUAAACGCAAGAUACCAGAUCUUGAGAUCUCCACCAUGCUUGCCAAUUACACUUUCAAAGGUGGAACUCCUAAGAAACUUGGUGAUCCCGGAGUGCCCACUAUACCUUGCUCCAUUAAAGGAAAGUACGUAAGAACUGCCUGAUGUGACCUUGGAGCCGGAGUUAGUGUUAUGCCUCUCUCUCUUUAUCGUAGAGUUGAACUGGAUAAGUUGACACCCACUGAAAUUUCUCUGCAAAUGGCCGACAAAUCAACUUCUUUCCUUGUCGGCAUUUGCGAGGAUGUGCCUGUUGUGGUUGCUAACACCACUAUCUUAACAGACUUUGUUAUCUUGGAUAUUCCCGAGGACGAUGCCAUGGCAGUCAUCCUCGGAAGACCCUUUUUAAACACUUCAGGGGCUGUUAUAGAUUGCAACAAAGGCAAUGUCACUUUCCAUGUCAACGGUAAUGAGCAUACCAUGCACUUUACGAAGAACGAUAUCCAGUACAUUGCAUCAAUGCUAUCAAAAAACUUCAUCGAUUCUUAUUGGGAGCUUUGAAUGCCAUAUUCCUCGUGUCAAGAUGAAGUAUGAAUUGCUUGUGGGGGAGAUUCAUAUCCCCAUUGAGGUGACUUAGUGGCUAUUCGAAGAUUCUCCAUUCUCUCUUGCGAUUCGAGAAGGUUUUGUCAUAAGGAUUUGAUCAACCCCAUUGACGGAUUUCUUUCGAUGACCAUGAAAUGGAUGAACCAAAGAGUCACAUACCUCUGUUUUAAGCUUUCACUUUCUGUUGUUUAGAAGAAAAAUGAUAUAUUUCGUUUAGUUUUUCAUGUUUCCUGUUUUAGCGUCCCGGAGAAAAAUACCUCGAAAAUAAAAGUUCUCCGAUGGUCCUGAAAAUCUAGUAUGAUUUUUUCUGGAAUAUUUGAAAAAUACUGGGACAGAGAGCUGUCCUGGGGGGCCACCCCAGUGGGCCACAAGCCCUGUCACGACGGGCCACCCCCGUGGCCGCGGGGAGCAAGCUUGUGGGGCCCACAGGGGCCCCCUCCACUCACUCCAGCUCCCAUCCUCUUCUUCUUCCUCGAGAAAAAAUUGUUUCGCAGCUCAAACCCGUGUUUUUGCUCAUUUGGCUGUGAUUUUCGAUCUCCUUGCUCAAAGCAUAAUUCUCCAAACCGUUUUGGGGAAAUUUCUCCUUGGUAAGUGACUCGUCCAUUGGUCAAAUUAGUUUUUACUCUAGUGCUUUAUCCUUCGCGUAUUCUUGCUACCUUGGUGACCCUGUUCUUGAGCUUGAAAUGUUGAUUUUAGCUGGUCCCAAGUAGUUUUAGCGCGUGAUACGGUCUCUAGGCACUAGUAGGAGUAGUUGCUACGAGUUGGGUUAAUCCUUAUGCACUUUUCUUUCGAAGUCUCUAAAAAUUUCUGAAUUUUUCAGAGCUAGAAAAGGAAAAAGAUGAGGAGGUUCUUGAGAGGAUCUUCAAGCUGUAACCCCAAGGAGGAUGAGAAGAACCUCCUCAAGUACGUGGUUCCUCGAGUCAUGGAAGUUCGAGCUUGCGAGUGGCCAAGUGAUGAAUUUUUAUGCGCCAUCGGGCUUUAUGAAGACUUUUAUUACUUGGUGGAGAACGCAUGUCUUACCGCGUUCGUUGAAGAUAAGUGCUCACAAUACCUCGUCCUCACCAAUAUUUUCCUUCAAAGCUUCAACUUUUAUCCGAGAUAGAAUCCUCCAAUGGUUGAGUUGGUCGCUUCCUAGUCUUUUGCUAGCCUUCACCUGUACUAAGCGGAAUAUUGCUUGUGCAUCCACCUUCAUAAACCCAAAAGUUUUUCCAUGACAGUCCACCAUACCUACCUAUUUGCGAUAUUUACCUCCCGUCCCAAGUAAAUUUGCAUGUUCCAUUCUCUAAACCUUCAAGAACUAAUAUGUUUUGCAUGCCCGAACCGCUCAUGUGGUGACAGGGAGCUGUUGGUAUCUUCCAUGUUAGGCGUGUUAUCCUUGACAUGUGUUUAUUCACUGUCAUUCACGAGAAAGGGGCCGGUAAUUGGAUGCCCAGUUACACACUUAAAUCGAAAACAUAACUAUAAAACAAGACUCCCCCUGGAUUGAUGUUAGUAUGGACGGUACCCGAGGAUUCGGCUAGCCGUGGAGUGUGAUUGAUUGGUGGUCGGGGAGUUAAAAAUUUACUUUUAUAUUUGGGAACCGCCAAUAGCAUGAGUAGCGUGGAAGAUAUUGAGAACUCUUGGUCAUUGCGUUGACAAUGAAAGCAUGCCACCCAAAAUUAUUAUCUCUGUUUUCAAAGCUUGAGCUCUGGCACCACUGCAAAUCAAUGCUUCCCUCUGCGAAGGGUCUGUCUAUUUAUUUUCCUGUUGAGUCAUCCUCUUCUUAUAUAAGCACCAAUUAGAGAACACCUUUGUCACUUUAUGCUUUGCUUUUGAUUGAUAUUGAGUAUGACUAUGACUGGAUCUUCGUUGCUAUGAAUUAAAAUAUUUAGUCAGCCCUUGAUCUUUGAAAGUGCUCUGCAUUUAUUUUUUGCGGUCUGAGAAAGAGCUAGCGAGACACCACCUAUUAAUAUUGCUUCAUGCUUGUUUUCAUUGAAUUGUUGGUAUCUGAAACUCAUUAUUAUUUGCUCGCUAGCUGAUUAUGCCAUUGAUAUUAGUUUACCGUGAGACCUUUGUGUCACUUGCUUAUGUGGUUAACUUGUGAUCUUGCUGAAAUUCUGGUUAUGAGUUAGACAUAGUUGCAACAACAAGAUCAAACAGAGUUUGUCAAAGUUUUUUUCUUUCUCUCUCAGUUUGUCAACUGAGUUGCUUGAGGACAAGAAAGGUUUUAAGCUUGGGGGAGUUUGAUACGUCUCCAUCGAAUCUACUUUUCCAAACUCUUUUUCCCUUGUUUUGGACUCUAAUGUGCAUGAUUUGAAUGGAACUAACCUAGACUAACGCUGUUUUCAGCAGAAUUGGCAUGGUGUUGUUUUUGUGCAGAAAUGAAAGUUCUCGGAACGUCCUGAAAAUUUACGGAGAAUUUUUCUGGAAAAUAUGAAAAAUACCUGCUCAAAGAUCCACCAGAGGGGGUGGGCCACAAGCCCUGUUGCCGCGGUCACCCCCCUAGCCGCGGCAACCAAGCUUGUGGGGCCCACGUGGCUCUGCCGCCCCCAAUCUCAGCUCUAUAAAUUCUCUUUCGCCCAAAAAAAUCAAAAGAGAAGGUUUCGUCGCGUUUGCGAUACGGAGGCGCCGCCACCACCUGUUCUUUAUCUGGAGGAUAGAUCUGGAGUCCGUUUUGGGCUCCGGAGAGGGGAAAUCGUCGCCAUCAUCAUCAUCAACCUUCUUCCCUCUCCAAUUCCAUGAAGCUCUUCAUCGUUCGUGAGUAAUCUAUUCAUAGGCUCGCUGGGCGGUGAUGAGUAGGAUGAGAUCUAUCAUGUAAUCGAGUUAGUUUUGACGGGGAUUGAUCCCUAGUAUCCACUAUGUUCUGAGAUUGAUGUUGCUACUACUUUGCCAUGCUUAAUGCUUGUCACUAGGGCCCGAGUGCCAUGAUUUCAGAUCUGAAAUUAUUAUGUUGUCGGCAAUAUAUGUGUAUUUUAGAUCCGAUCUUGCAAGUUGUAGUUACCUACUAUGUGUUAUGACCCGGCAAUCCCGGAGUGACAAUAACCGGAACCACUCCCGGUGAUGAUCAUAGUUUGAGGAGUUCAUGUGUUCACCAAGUGCUAAUGCGUUGUUCCGGUUCUUUAUUUUAAGGAGAACCUUAAUAUCCCGUAGUAUCCUUUUGGACCUCGCUGCCAUGGGAGGGAUGGACAAUAGAUGUCAUGCAAGUUCUUUUCCCUAAGCACGUAUGACUACACACGGAAUGCAUGCCUACAUCACAUUGACGAACGGGAGCUAGCCACAUAUCUGUCCAUGUUAUAACUGUUGCAUGAUGAAUAUCAUCCAUACAAAUCACCGACCCAUUGCCUACGAGUUUGCAACGGGAGCUAGCCACAUAUCUCUCCGUAUUAUAACUGUUGCAUGAUGAAUAUCAUCCAUACAAAUCACCGACCCAUUGCCUACGAGUUUGUCCCACUGCUGUUGUUACUUGUCUUGCUCUGCUGCUACUGUUGUUACUACUGUCGCUUGCUACUGCUGUCUCUUGCUACUGUUGCUACUUGCUACUGCUGUCACUACUGCUGUUCCUUGCCACUGCUAUUACUCGUUACACUGCUGCUACUUGCUACAAUUUGGUUCGCUGGUCGUUGACGGGAACAGACAAUUUCUGUCAACGGGCAACUUCUGGCGCCAUUGAUACAAUCCUUAAGAAUAGUCUGGCGUCAACAGAAUGUUUCUGACACCGUUGUUAUCAUACUACUUUGCUGCUGACACUUUGCUUGCAGAUACUAAUCUUUUAGGUGUGGUUGAAUCUGACUCAUUCAUCUGCUAAUACUCGAGAGUAUUCUCUCACCUCCUGUCUGGCGUAUCAACAAAUUUGGGUCGAAUACUCUACCCUCAAAAACUACUGCGAACCCACGCGCUGGUGGGCCAUCAACAACAUUCUUCUAGUUUUGUUGCCGGGGAGUGCUAGCAGCAUUCUUCUGGUGCCAUUGUAGGGGAAGGUCUGUUGUCACAGAGUCAACUGGUUGCAAAGUAACAUCGUUCUUAAAAACAGCUCUAUUGCGACAUCUCUCUAUGCACAAACAACCCAGGCAUGCACUAGUGGAAAACAUGGCUUUGGUUCGGGCCUGGCCAGCCCAUUAGUCCCGGUUCUUCACGAAUCAGGACAAAUGGGGGGCAUUAGACCCGGUUCAUGAGCCCAGGGGGCCGGCUGGGGCCGGCUGGGCAUUGGUCCCGGUUCGUCUGGACCCAUUUGUCCCGGUUCUAGGCACGAACCAGGACCAAUGGGCUGCGCUCCUAGCCCGCAUCCAUUGGUACCGGUUCAUUUCUUGAACCGGGAUGAAUAAUUUGCCUAUAUAUACCCAUCGCCGCGGCAGAGCACUCUGUUUUUUCUGGCCGGCGAGGGGAGGGCAUUUGGGUGCUCCAGCUCACCUCCUAUGCACAUGAGGUGUUCGAUGAAAUGCCCGAGGCACACUAGUUAUGAUUUCUCCUCUCGAAGCUCGACCUCGGAGCUCCAUUUUUCCCGAGAUUUGUCUAGAUAUAGCGGGCCGUCACGCCCCGUCCCCGUUUUCACCGCCGUUGAUCGCGCGCACCGAUCUCGUCGCCAGCACCACCGUGGUGAGCCUCUUGUUCUUAUCUUCUUUCUGAUUUUCUUACUUUAGAUAGAGACUUGUCUGAUUUUCUUACUUUAGAUAGAUACUUGUCUCAUUUUCAUACUUUUGACACAAAUAAUUAUGCACGUAAAUGAACCGACAAUGGAUGUAUGGUGACAGACACACCUCUGAGUACAUUAAGGGCGUGCAUAAUUUUCUCGAAGUGGUUGAGGCAAACAAGAAGAAUUGUUUUAUGUGUUGUCCAUGCCCUAAAUGUGGGAAUACGAAGUCUUACUCGGACCGGAAAAUCCUUCAAACCCACCUGCUUUACAAGGGUUUCAUGCCACACUAUAAUGUUUAGACGAGGCACAGAGAAAUAGGGGUUAUGAUGGAAGACGGCGAAGAAUAAGAGGACGAUGACAACUAUGUGCCCCCUGAAUACGGUGAUGGUGCAACGGGGGGAGCUGCUGAAGAUCAAGAGGAACGAGACGAUGUACCCGAUGAUGCUGCAACGGGGGAAGCUACUGAAUAUCAAGAGGAACCAGACGAUGUGCCCGAUGAUGAUGAUCUCUCUCGGGUUAUUGUCAAUGCAAAUACGCAAUACGAAAGUCAAAAGGAGAAGCUGAAGUUCGAUCACAUGUUAGACGAUCACAAAAAAGGGUUGUACCCCAAUUGCGAAGACGGCAACACAAAGCUGGGUACCGUACUGCAAUUGCUACAAAGGAAGGCAGAGAAUGUUGUGCCUCACAAAGGAUUUGAUAAGCUACUAAAAAUAUUGAAGAAGAAGCAUCCAAAGGAUAACGAAUUGCCCGACAGUACGUAAGCAGCAAAGAAGGUCGUAUGCCCUCUAGGAUUGGAGGUGCAGAAGAUACAUGCAUGGCCUAAUGAUUGCAUCCUCUACCGCGGUGCGUACAAGGAUUUGAACACAUGCUCGGUAUGCGGUGCAUUGGGGUAUAAGAUCAGACGAGAUGACCCUGGUGAUGUUGACGGCGAGCCCCGAAGGAAGAGGGUUCCUGCGAAGGUGAUGUCGUAUGCUCUUAUAAUACCACGGUUGAAAUGACUGUUCAGAAACAAAGAGCAUGCCAAGUUGAUGCGAUGGCACAGUGAGGACCGUGAGAAAGACGGGAAGUUGAGAGCACCCGCUGACGGGUCGCAGUGGAGAAAAAUCGAGAGAGAGUACUAGGAUGAGUUUGCACGUGACCCAAGGAACGUAUGGUUUGGUUUAAGCGCGGAUGGCAUUAAUCCUUUCGGGGAGCAGAGCAGCAAUCACAGCACCUGGCCCGUGACUCUAUGUAUGUAUAACCUUCCUCCUUGGAUGUGCAUGAAGCGGAAGUUCAUUAUGAUGCCAAUUCUCAUACAAGGCCCUAAGCAACACGGCAACGACAUUGAUGUGUACCUAAGGCCAUUAGUUGAAGAACUUUUACAGCUGUGGAAUGGAAACAGUGUACGUUUGUGGGAUGAGCACAGACAAGAGGAAUUUGACCUGCACGCGUUGCUGUUUGUAACCAUCAACGAUUGGCCCGCUCUCAGUAACCUUUCAGGACAGACAAACAAGGGAUACCACGCAUGCACGCAUUGUUUAGCUGACACUGAAAGUAUAUACCUGGACAAAUGCAGGAAGAAUGUGUACCUGCGCCAUCGUCGAUUUCUUCCGACCAACCAUCAAUGUCGAAAGAAAGGCAAGCAUUUCAAAGGCGAGGCAGAUCACCGGAAGAAGCCCGCCAUGCGUAACGGUGAUCACGUACUUGCUAUGUGAUACUGCAACAAAAGACCUUCCAAUGGCACCAGAUAGGCACGUCGACGGGAGAAUACUUGGCUUGAUCCUUCUGCUGCGGCUAUGCCUUAAGGGACUUCCUGGGAAAGUAUGCAAAGGAUUUCCCCCGUGGCCUUGGAGCCUUGCGUUGGUGUUCCCUCAAAGCGGAAAGGGUGAUGUAGCGUAGCGGUGGUAAGUAUUUGCCCCAGUUUGAGAACCAAGGUAUCAAUCCAGUGGAGGAGUAUCUCAAGAUCCUGCACAACCACAAAAGCUUGCUCCCAACGCUAUGAAGGGGUUGUCAAUCCCUUAUAGAUUGUUUGCCAAGUGAGAACUGAAAGCAACAAAGUAACAAAGCAAAGUAAAAGCAGAGGUGUAAACGAUGGAUGUGAAUAGACCCGUGGGCCGUAGUGUUUACUAGUGGCUUCUCUCAUGAAAGCAAGUAGACGGUGGGUGAACAAAUUACUGUCGAGCAAUUGAUAGAACCGUGUAAAGCCGUGACGAUAUCUAUGCAAUGAUUAUAUCUAUAGGCAUCACGUCCAAAACAAGUAGACCGAUACUUUCUGCAUCUACUACUAUUACUGCACACAUCGACCGCUAUCCAGCAUGCAUCUAGUGUAUUAAGUCCAUAAGAACAGAGUAACGCCUUAAGCAAGAUGACAUGCUGUAGAGGGAUAAUCUCAAACCAAUGAUAAAACCCCAUCUUUUUACCCUUGAUGGCAACUACUUGAUGUGUGCCUUGCUGCCCCUACUGUCAUUGGAAAGGUCACCACAUGGUAGAACCCAAAACCAAGCACUUCUCCCAUUGCAAGAAUCACAGAUCUAGUUUUCCAAACAAAACCCAAGACUCGGAGAGACUUACAAGGAUAUAAAAUCAUGCAUAUAAGAAAUCAGCAAAGACUCAAAUAUAUAUCAUAGAUAAUCUGAUAACAAAUCCACAAUUCAUCGGAUCUCAACAAACACACCGCCAAAGAAGAUUACAUCGCAUAGAUCUCUAUGAAGAUCAUGGAGAACUUUGUAUUGAAGAUCCAAGAGAGAGAAAAAGCCAUCUAGCUACUAACUACGGACCCGUAGGUCUGAAGUGAACUACUGAUGAGUCAUUGGAGGGGCGAUGAUGAUGAUGAAGAAGCCCUCCAAUGCCAAAGUCCCCUCCGGCAGGGCGCCGGGAAGGGUCUCCAGAUGAGAUCUCGCGGAAACGGAAGGUUGCGGCGGCGGAAAAGUAUUUUCGAGGCUCCCCUGAGUUUUUGCUGAAUAUUUGGGAAUAUAUAGGCCAAGGAUCUAGGUUAGGGGGCGGCCAGGGAGGCCACAAGCCCUGACACCGCCGCCUCCCCUCUGUUGGCGGAGUGGGAGCUUGUGGGCUCCCUGGAGCUCACUUGGCUUGGCCCAGAGGCCCCCUGAUCUUCUUCCGUUCGGGAAAAAAUCAUUUCGGGGUUUUUAUUCCGUUUGGACUCCGUUCCAAAAUCAGAUCUGAAAAGAGUCAAAAACACAGAAAAAACAGGAACUGGCACUUGGCACUGAAUUAAUAAGUUAGUCCCACAGAAGAUAUAAAAGGUACAUAAAACAUCCAAAGAAGACAAGAUAACAGCAUCAAACCAUCAACAAUUAUAGAUACGUUUGAGACGUAUCAAGCAUCCCCAAGCUUAACUCCUGCUCGUCCUCGAGUAGGGAAGUGAUAAAGAAUGAACUUUUGAUGCUUUCAUGCUACCUAGCAUAGAUGUCCUUUGUAAUUCCUCUUAUGUGACGUGAAUGUUCAGAUCCAUUAGAUUUAAAACAAUAGUUUUCUAUUGACGUGGAAACAAUAAUAAUUCAAGCAAACUAGCAAGGUAAUCAUGAACUUUCAAAAUAACAAGGCCAAAAGAAAGUUAUCCCUACAGAAGCAUAUAGUCUGGCUAUGCUCUAUCAUCAUUGCACAAUGAAUUUAAAUCAUGCACAACCCCGGUAUUGGCCAAGUAAUUGUUUCACACUUUUACUUUCUCAAACCUUUUCAACUCUCACACAAUACAUGAGCGUGAGCCAUGGUUAUAGCACUAUAGAUGGUGUGGAGUGUGGUGGAGGUUGCAAGACAAAAAAGGAGAAGAUAGGCAAGUUAACUAGGCAUAUCAAUGAGCUAUGGAGAUGCUAAUCAAUAGAUAUCAAUGUGAAUGAGUAGGGAUUGCCAUACAAAUGAUGCACUAGAGCUACGAGUAUGUGAAAGCUCUUAAAGAAAACUAGUGGGUGUGCAUCCAACUUGCUUGCUCACGAAGACCUAAGGCAAUUUUGGGGAAGCCUAUCAUUGGAAUAUACAAGCCAAGUUAUAUAAUUAAAAUUUCCCACUAGCUAUAUGGUGGUGACAAAACGAGAGACUCUCAAUCAUGAAGAUCAUGGUGCUUAAUAUGCACAAGUGUGGAAAAAGUGGUAGGAUUGUCCCUUCUAUCUUUUUCUCUCAUUUUUUUAUUUGGUGGGCUCUUUGGCCUCUCUUUUUUUGGUGUGCUUAUUUGGCCUCUUUUAUUUCCUCACAUGGGACAAUUCUCCAUUAAUGAUGAUCAUCACACUUUCAACUCAAAACUUAGAGUAACGAUGACUCUAUAUGGAAUGUCUUCGAUAGUGUACCGUGGCAAUGAUCUAGCAUGGCAUAGACAUUAAUGGAAAAAUCAUGCUAGCUAUCUUAUGAUCAUGCAAUGGAAAUGUAGAUGUGGUGGCACAUGUCAUGGUGGUAGUUGCAUGGCAAUAUAUCUCGGAAUGACUUUGAAAAAGCCAUAGUAGGUAGGUAUGGUGGCUGUUUUGAGGGAGGCAAAUAGUGGGUUUUGUGCACCGGAGAAAGUUGCACGGCACUAAGAAGAUAGUGAUGGUGGAACGUGAAACUGCAUCUAAACCAAGGACUCAACAUUAGUCAUGAAGAACUCAUAUACUUGUUGCAAAAAAUUUAUUAGUAAUCGAAACAAAGCAUUCAACGCAUACUCCUAGGGGAAGGGUUGGUAGGUGUAAACCAUCGCGCGAUCCCGACCGCCACGCAAAGGAUGACAAUCAAUAUACUAAUCAUGCUCAGAUUUCAUCACAUAGCGGUUCACCAUACGUGCAUGCUACGGGAAUCACUAACUUCAACACAAGUAUUUCUAGAUCCACAACACCUUACUAGCAUGACUUCAAUAUUACCAUAACCACAACUCAAAACUAAUUGAGAUGAAUCAAACUUCUCUAACUAUUCAAUGCACAUGAAGGUGGAAGUUUUCGUAUCCCUUUGGAUAACUACCCCUUUUGAGACUACUUUCAAAGAAUAGAUCAACUAGCAACCCACGCACCGCUAUGCUCUAAAAGAUAUAAGUGAAGCACAUAGAGCAAAAGUAUCUAGGUCAAAAGAUAUAAGUGAAGCACAUGUGAGCUGAAUUGUCUACCAAAAGAUAUAAGUGAAGCUUGACAAAAUCACGGUGAGUGCAUGUAUCUCUCUAUAGGUGUGCAGAAAGGAUAAUUGUGACACAACAAAAAUAAAAGACUCCUACGAUACAAGACGCUCCAAGCAAAAACACAUAACAUUUGGUGAAUAAAAAUAUAGCCCCAAGUAACGUUACCGAUGGAUUGAAGACGAGAGAGGGGAUGCCUUCCCGGGGCAUCGUCAAGCUUAGGCUUUUACGACAUCCUUGAAUCUCUUGGGGUUCCUUGUGCAUCCCCAAGCUUGAGCUCUUGCCACUCUUUAUCUCUUUGUCCAUAAGAACUUCACCCAAAACUAGAAAACUUCACAACAUGAAACUUAAACAGAAACUCAUGAUAACAUUAGUACAAGAAAGCAAACCACCACUUCCUUAGGUACUGUAGCAACCUUAAAUUCUACUUGUGCUGAUGUUGGGUUAAUGUACUUUCAAUCUUCCAUGGCUAAUACCCCCCGGUACUAUCCAUAGUUUCAUCAAAAUAAGCAACCAACACAACAAAAACAGAAUCUGUUAACAGCAGACCAGUCUGUAGCAAUCUAUAUAUUUCGUAUACCUCUGUUACUUCAAAAAUUCUGAAAUAUUACGACAGGCUGAAGAAUUCCGAUAGCAAUCAGAAGAAAAAAAGAAUCAACUCAAAAUAUCUUACAGAAAAACAAUGAAAAUUCUUUUCGUGAGCAGAAAGUUUCUGUCUUUUCCUGCAUGACCAAACGAUCAUCCCCAAGACUAAUCAUAACGGUUUUUCUUGGCAAAAACGCAAAAAGAAACACAAAAAUCACAAUCAUAACAGAAUUAUGAAAGUGUGGAAAACAAAAAACAGAAAUAAAAAGGAUAGAUUCGUUGGGUUGCCUCCCAACAAGCGCUUUUGUUUAUUGCCCUUAGCUAGGCAAAAAGUGAUGGAAUCACGUAUAGUCAUCUUUGGUGCUCAAACCAUAAGUAGUGUGAUCGUUUAUCAUCUUAAGAUUUUCAUCUUUAUUAGAUGACUCACCACUAGAUUUAGGAACAAAAAUAGGCUUGACGGUCUUUUUGAGAGUAAGAUUUGGAGUAUUUUGCACAGCGGCAAAAGUGGAACCCAAGUUGGUUAUGACAUCUUCUAAUUUGCCAAUUCUAGAAGAAUCAUUAACUAUAAGUUCCUUCUCCUUUAAAUUUUUCAAAAAGUUUCCCACUUUGGAUCCGUACUGAGUAAUUUGAUGGAUCUUUGUAUCCAAACCCUCAAUAAGUUCAAUUGUGGCAAUUUUGUUUUCAAUAGCGUCAAGCCUUGGCAUCACGUGUUCCAAGGUCAAGAUAGUUCCAUUAACCAUGAGCGGGGGUGAGCCUACCAAAUUAAUGAUAGCUCUAUAGGAGUCCACAGCAUGGCUCCCCAAAAAGUUCCCGCCUACAAUGGUAUCAAGGAUAUACCUAUUCCAAGGAGAAAUUCCAACAUGCAAACUGCGAAGGAGGACGCUAGUGGAUUGCUUACGAGUAGAUCUACUUUGAGCAUUGCAAAUCCUGUACCAAGCGUCCUUCAAAUUUUCUUCCUCAUUCUGCCUGAAAUUGAGAACUUCAUUUUUAGGGGUGUCGUUUGGAGUGGUGGGUCUAGCCAUUGAUGGACUGGCUCACACACAAACGGGCGGGAAGAGAGAGUGAAACGGGCAAAAGAAAAUGGCAAAAAGGCAAAAGAAAACGGCGAAGGAGAAAGGCAAAUGAAAACAGCAAAUGAGAAGUGGGGGAGAGGAAAACGAGAGGCAACUGGCAACAAAAGUAAAUGCAAGAGAAGAGUUUGUGAGACCUACUUGGAUAGAUCUUGAUCUCUCCUCCCCGGCAACGGCGCCAGAAAUACUUCUGCUACUGCAACAAAAGACCUUCCAAUGGCGCCAGAAAUAGGCACGUCGACGGGAGAAUAAUUGGCUUGAUCCUUCUGCUGCGGCUACGCCAUAAGGGACUUCCUGGGCAAGUAUGCAAAGGAUUUCCCCCAUGGCCUUGGAGCCUUGCGUUGGUGUUCCCUCAAAUCGGAAAGGGUGAUGUAGCGUAGCGGUGGUAAGUAUUUCCCUCAGUUUGAGAACAAAGGUAUCAAUCCAAUGGAGGAGUAUCUCAAGAUCCUACACAAACACAAAAGCUUGCUCCCAACGCUAUGAAGGGGUUGUCAAUCCCUUAUCGAUUGUUUGCCAAGUGAGAACUGAAAGCAACAAAGUAACAAAGAAAAGUAAAAGCAGAGGUGUAAACGAUGGAUGUGAAUAGACCUAGGGGUCGUAGUGUUUACUAGUGGCUUGUCUCAUGAAAGCAAGUAGAUGGUGGGUGAACAAAUUACUCUCGAGCAAUUGAUAGAACCACGCAAAGUCGUGACGACAUCUAUGCAAUGAUUAUAUCUAUAGGCAUCACGUCCAAAACAAGUAGACCGAUACUUUCUGCAUCUACUACUAUUACUGCACACGUCGACCGCUAUCCAGCAUGCAUCUAGUGUAUUAAGUCCAUAAGAACAGAGUAACGCCUUAAGAAAGAUGACAUGAUGUAGAGGGAUAAUCUAAAACCAAUGAUAAAAACCCCAUCUUUUUACCCUUGAUGGCAACUACUUGAUGUGUGUCUUGCUGCCCCUAGUGUCACUGGGAAAGGUCACCACAUGGUACAACCCAAAACCAAGCACUUCUCCCAUUGCAAGAAUCAUAGAUCUAGUUGGCUAAACAAAACCCAAGACUCGGAGAGACUUACAAGGAUAUCAAAUCAUGCAUAUAAUAAAUCAGCAAAGACUCAAAUAUAUAUCAUAGAUAAUCUGAUCACAAAUCCACAAUUCAUCGGAUCUCGACAAACACACCGCCAAAGAAGAUUACAUCGGAUGGGUCUCCAUGAAGAUCAUGGAGAACUUUGUAUUGAAGAUCCAAGAGAGAGAAGAAGCCAUCUAGCUACUAACUACGGACCCAUAGGUCUGAAGUGAACUACUCAUGAGUCAUUGGAGGGGCGAUGAUGAUGAUGAAGAAGCCCUCCAACUCCAAAGUCCCCUCGAGCAGGGUGCCGGGAAGGGUCUCUAGAUGAGAUCUCGCGGAAACGGAAGCUUGCGGCGGCGGAAAAGUAUUUUCGAGACUCCCCUGAUUUUUUGCUGAAUAUUUGGGAAUAUAUAGGCCAAGGAUCUAGGUCAGGGGGCGGCCAUGGAGGCCACAAGCCCUGACACCGCCGCCUCCCGCCCUGGUGGCGGAGUGGGAGCUUGUCGGCUCCCUAGAGUCCACCUGGCUUGGCCCAUAGGCCCCCUGAUCUUCUUCCGUUUGGGAAAAAAUCAUUUCGGGGUUUUUAUUCCGUUUGGACUCCAUUCCAAAAUCAGAUAUGAAAAGAGUCAAAAACACAGAAAAAACAGGAACUGGCACUUGGCACUGAAUUAAUAAGUUAGUCCCACAGAAGAUAUAAAAGGUACAUAAAACAUCCAAAGAAGACAAGAUAACAGCAUGAAACCAUCAAAAAUUAUAGAUACAUUUGAGACGUAUCACUAUGGUCAAUGAUUUAAAAGUAAUCUUCGGAAAGGGUCCCGGCAGACUAUCUGUUCCGAGUGACGUUGCGGGACACGCACCCAUGUGGAAGAAGAAAUCUAUAUUUUGGGACCUACCCUACUGGAAAGACCUAGAGGUCCGCUCUUUGAUCGACGUGAUGCACGUGAUGAAGAACCUUUGCGUGAACCUGCUAGGCUUCUUGGGCGUGUAUGGGAAUACAAAAGAUACGGCUGAGGCACGGAAGGACCUGCAACGUUUGCAUGAAAAAGACGGCAUGCCUCCAAAGCAGUAUGAAGGUCCUGCCAGCUACGCUCUUACCAAAGAAGAGAAGGAUAUCUUCUUUGAAUGCCUUCUUAGUAUGAAGGUCCCGACUAGCUUCUCGUCGAAUAUAAAGGGAAUAGUCAAUAUGGCAGAGAAAAAGUUCCAGAACCUAAAGUCUCAUGACUGCCACGUGAUUAUGACGCAACUGCUUCCGGUUGCAUUGAGGGGGCUUCUACCGGAAAACAUCCGAUUAGCCAUUGUGAAGCUAUGUGCAUUAUCAAUGCAAUCUCUCAGAAGGUGAUCGAUCCAGAAAUCAUACCAAGGCUAAGGAGUGAUGUGGUGCAAUGUCUUGUCAGUUUCGGGCUGGUGUUCCCACCAUCCUUCUUCAAUAUCAUGACGCACGUCCUAGUUCAUCUAGUUGACGAGAUUGUCAUUCUGGGACCCGUAUUUCUACAUAAUAUGUACCCCUUUGAGAGGUUCAUGGGAGUCCUAAAGAAAUAUGUCUGUAACCGCGCUAGGCCAGAAGGAAGCAUCUCCAUGGUCCAUCAAACAGAGGAUGUCAUUGGCUUUUGUGUUGACUUCAUUCCUGGCCUUAAGAAGAUAGGUCUCCCUGAAUCACGGUAUGAGGGGAGACUGACUGGAAAAGGCACACUUGGAGGGGAAUCAAUAAUAUGAAGGGACGGAUAUUCUUGGUCUCAUGCACACUACACAGUACUAAUGAACUCUACCUUGGUGACCCCGUAUGCCGAUGAAUACAAGAACAGUUUGCGCUCCAAACACCCGGAGCGGUGCGACGACUGGAUUACAAGUGAACACAUCAGGACUUUCAGCAGUUGGUUGGAAACACGUCUCAGAGGUGAGAACACUGUUUGUGCUGAGUUGUAUUCUUUGUCCAGGGGACCAUCUUCGACUGUAUUGACUUACAAAGGAUACGAGAUAAAUGGGAAUACAUUUUAGACGAUCGCCAAAGAUCAAAAGAGCACCAACCAAAACAGCGGUUUCCGCUGAUACGUCCAUUUUGCAUCAUGCUUUUAUGUUGAUAUUUAUUGCUUUUUCGGCUAUUAUUACAUUUCACGGUAUAAUACUUAUGCCUUUUCUCUCUUAUUCUACAAGGUUUACAUGAAGAGGGAGAAUGCCGGCAGCUGGAAUUUUGGCCUGAAAAAGGAGCAAGUUUGACAUGCCUAUUCUGCACAACUCCAAAAGCCAUGAAAAUCAACGUGGAUUUUUUUUGGGAUUUAUAAAAAAUAAUGGGCCGAAGAAGUGCCAGAGGGGCGCCAGCAGGAGGCCAGAAGCCUGCUAGGCGCGGCCUCCCCCCUGGUCAUGCCUAGGGGGCUUGUGAGCUCCCUGCUGGCCCACUAGCACCCCUCUUUUGCUACAAGAAGGGUUUCGGUCUGGAAAAAAAUCAGGAGGAGGCUUUUCGGAGGAUUCUCCGCCGCCACGAGUCGGAACUUGAGCAGAACCAAUCUAGAGCUUCAGCGGGACGAUCCUGUCGGGGAAACUUCCCUCCCGGAGGGGGAAAUCAUCGCCAUCGUCAUCACCAACACUCCUCUCAUCGGAGGGGGCUCAUCACCAUCAACAUCUUCAUCAGCACCAUCUCAUCUCCAAACCCUAGUUCAUUUCUUGUAACCAAUCUCCGUCUCGCGACUCCGAUUGGUACAUGUAAGGUUGCUAGUAGUGUUAAUUACUCUUUGUAGUUGAUGCUAGUUGGAUUACAUGGUGGAAGAGUUUAUGUUCAGAUCUUUGAUACUACUCAUUACCUCUCUGGUCAUGAAUAUAAUUAUGCUUUGUGAAUAGUUACUUUUGUUCCUGAGGACAUGGGAUAAGUCUUGCUAUAAGUAGUCAUGUGAAUUUGGUAUUCGUUCGAUAAUUUGAUGUGUUGUAUGUUGUUUUUCCUCUAGUGGUGUUAUUUCAACGUCGACUACAUAACACUUCACCAUUAUUUGGGUCUAGAGGAAGGCAUUGGGAAGUAGUAAGUAGAUGAUGGGUUGCUAGAGUGACAGAAGCUUAAACCCUAGUUUAUGCGUUGCUUCGUAAGGGGCUGAUUUGGAUCCACUAGUUUAAUGCUAUGGUUAGACUUUUUCUUAAUUCUUCUUUCAUAGUUGCGGAUGCUUGCGAGAGGGGUUAAUCAUAAGUGGGAUGCUUUUCCAAGUAAGGGAAGUACCCAUGCACCGGCCCACCCACAUAUCAAACUAUCAAAGUAGCGAACGCAAAUCAUAUGAACAUGAUGAAAACUAGCAUGACAGAAUUUCCCAUGUGUCCUCGGGAGCGCUUUACCUCCUAUAAGACUUCGUCCAGGCUUGUCCCUUGACACAAAAGGGAUUGGUCCACUUUGCUGCACCGUUGUUACUUUUGUUACUUGCUACUUGCUACGAAUCAACUCACCACACAACUACUUGUUACCGAUAAUUUCAGUGCUUGCAGAUAUUACCUUGCUGAAAACCACUUGUCACAUCCUUCUGCUCCUCGUUGGGUUCGACACUCUUAUUUAUCGAAAGGACUACGAUAGAUCCCCUAUACUUGUGGGUCAUCAAGACUCUUUUCUGGCGCCAUUGCCGGGGAGUGAAGCGCCUUUGGUAAGUGGAAUUUGGUGAGGAAACUUUUAUAUAGUGUGCUGAAAUUUAUUGUCACUUGUCACCAUGGAAACUAAUCCUUUGUGGGGCUUGUUUGGGGUAUCUUCACCUCGAACGGAAGCACAAAGAGUUUCUCCUCAACCUGCUGCACCUACUGAAAAUAUUUUCUAUGUAUUUCUUUCGGGCAUGCUUGAGAAACUACUGGCUAAUCCUUUUACAAGAGAUGGAACAUCACAUCCAGACUUGCAUCUAAUCUAUGUAGAUGAAGUUUGUGGUUUAUUUAAGCUUGCAGAUUUGCCCGAGGAUGAGGUCAAGAAGAAGGUCUUUCCCUUAUCUUUGAGGGAUAAGGCGUUGACAUGGUAUAGGCUAUGUUAUGAUACUGGAUCAUGGAACUACAAUCGGUUGAAAUUGGAAUUUCAUGAAAAGUUUUAUCCUAGGCAUUUAGUACAUCGUGAUCAGAAUUAUAUUUAUAAUUUUUCGCCUCAUGACAGAGAAAGCAUCUCUCAAGCUUGGGGGAGGCUUAAAUCAAUGUUAUAUUCAUGCCCCAACCUUGAGCUCUCGAGAGAAAUUAUCAUUCAGAACUUCUAUGCUCGGCUUCCUCAUGAUGAUCGCACCAUGCUUGACACUUCUUGUACCGGUUCUUUUAUGAAGAGAGAUAUUGACUUUAGAUGGAAUUUAUUGGAAAGAAUUAAAUGCAACUCUGAAGAUUGGGAUCUUGAUGAAUCUAAGGAGUCAGGUAUGAAUUUCAAGUUUGAUUGCGUUAAAUCAUUUGUUGAAACAAAUACCUUUUGUGAUUUUAGCGCUAAGUAUGGACUUGACUCUGAGAUAGUAGCUUCAUUGUGUGAAUCAUUUGCUGCUCAUAUUAAUCUCCCUAAAGAGAAGUAGUUUGAAUAUCAUCCUCCCUUAGAAUUCAAUGUAGUUAAACCCAAUCCAGUUGAAGAGAAAGUAAUUUCCUAUAAUAAUCCUAUUGUUCCCAGUUCUUACAUUGAGAAACCACCUUUCCCUGUUAGGGUAAAGGAUCAUUCUAAAGCUUCAACUGUCAUACGUAGGGGGCUACAUUAGAACACCUACACCCCCUGAGCAAAUUAGAGUUGAACCUAGCAUUGCUAUAUUAUCAAAGAUCUCCUGUCCGACAAUGUUGAUGACCAUGAUAUUCACUUUUGUGAAGAUGAUGCUAGAAUUGCUAAACCACAUGCUAGAGACAAACGUAGGCAUGUUGUUGGCAUGCUUGUUGUUUCUGUUCAGAUAGGAGAUCAUUGUUGUCAUGGUUUAUGUGACGUGUGUGCUAGUGUUAGUGCAAUACCUCAAUCCUUAUAUGAUGAAAUUAAAGACGAGACUGCACCUGUUGAUAUAGAACCAAUUGAUGUCACUAUUCAGCUUGCCAAUAGAGAUACUAUGUGCCAUGUGGGAAUUGUUAGGGAUGUUAAAGUCUUGUGUGGUAAAACGAAGUAUCCUACUGAUUUCCACGUUCUUGCUACCACCCAAGAUAGCUUUUGUCCCAUCAUAUUUGGCAAACCUUUUCUCAAUACUGUCAAUGCUCAUAUUGACUGUGAGAAGCAAACUGUCACUGUUGGCUUUGAAGGUGUGUCACAUAAGUUCAAUUUCUCCAAGUUUGGUAGAUAACCUCAUGAAAAAGAGUUGCCUAGUAAGGAUGAAACUAUUGCCUUAGCUUCUAUUGGUGUGCCUCCUACUGAUCCUUUAGAGAAAUACUUGCUUGAGCAUGAAAAUGAUAUGCAUAUGGAUGAAAGGGAUGAGAUAGAUAGAGUUGUCUUAGAACAAUAUCCUAUUCUUAAGAAUAAUUUGCAUGUUGAACUGCUUGGGAAUCCACCCCCACCAAAGGGUGAUCCUGUGUUCGAGCUUAAACAGUUGCCAGAUACUCUUAAGUAUGCUUAUCUUGAUGAAAAAGAGAUAUAUCAUGUUAUAAUUAGUGCUAGCCUCUCAGAGCAUGAAGAAAAGAAGAUACUAAAAACUCUGAGAAAGCACCAUGCUGCUAUUGGAUAUACUCUUGAUGAUCUUAAGGGCAUUAGUCCCACCCUAUGCCAGCACAAGAUUAAAACAUAUCCUGAUGCCAAGCCAAUUGUUGAUCAUCAACAGAGAUUAAAUCCUAAGAUUAAAGAGGUAGUAAGAAAAUAAAUACUAAAGCUCCUGGAAGCAGGUAUUAUCUAUCCUGUUGCUCAUAGUGAUUGGGUGAGUCCGGGGCAUUGCGUCCCUAAGAAGGGAGGUAUUACCGUUGUCCCUAAUGAUAAGGAUGAAUUGAUCCCCCAACAGAUUAUUACUGGCUAUAGGAUGGUGAUCGAUUUUAGGAAAUUGAAUAAAGCCACUAGGAAAGAUCAUUACCCUUUGCCUUUAAUCGACCAAAUGCUAGAAAGACUGUCUAAACACACACUUCUGCUUUCUAGAUGGUUAUUCUGGUUUCCCCCAAAUACCUGUUGGACAAGCUAAUCAGGAGAAAACCACUUUCACCUGCCCUUUCGCUACCUUUGCUUAUAGACGUAUGACUUUUGGCUUAUGUAAUGCACCUGUCACCUUUGAAAGAUGUAUGAUGGCUAUAUUCUCUAACUUUUGUGAAACGAUUGUUGAGCUUUUCAUGGAUGACUUCUCCGUUUACGGCUCUUCUUUUGAUGAUUGCCUUAGCAACCUUGACCGAGUCUUGCAGAGAUGUAAAGAUACCAAUCUUGUCUUUAAUUGGGAGAAGUGCCACUUUAUGGUUAAUGAAGGCAUCGUCUUAGGACAUAAAAUCUCCUAAAGAGGUAUUGAAGUCGAUAAGGCUAAGGUUGAUGCAAUCGAGAAAAUGCCAUGCCCCACAGAUAUCAAAGGUAUAAGAAGUUUCCUUGGUCAUGCUGGUUUCUAUAGAAGGUUCAUUAAAGACUUCUCUAAGAUUUCUAGGCCUCUUACCAAUCUCUUGCAAAAGGAUAUCCCUUUUGUCUUCGAUGAUGAUUGUGAGGAAGCCUUCGAGAUACUUAAGAAGGCCUUGAUAACUGCACCUAUUGUUCAACCACCUGAUUGGAACUUACCUUUUAAAAUCAUGUGUGAUGCUGGUGAUUAUGCUGUUGGUGCUGUCCUAGGGCAAAGAGUUGAUAAGAAGUUGAAUGUUAUUCACUAUGCCAGUAAAACUCUGGAUAGUGCCCAAAGAAACUAUGCUACUACGGAAAAGGAAUUUUUAGCAGUCGUGUUUGCAUGUGAAAAGUUCAGAUCUUACAUAGUUGAUUCCAAAGUCACUAUUCACACUGAUCAUGCUGCUAUUAAGUACCUCAUGGAGAAGAAAGACGCUAAACCUAGACUCAUCAGAUGGGUUCUCUUGCUACAAGAAUUUAUUUGCAUGAUGUCGAUAUGAAGGGUGCCGAUAACCCCGUAGCAGAUAACUUGUCUAGGUUGGAGAAUGUUCUUGAUGACCCACAACCUAUUGACGAUAGCUUUCCUGAUGAGCAAUUGAAUGUCAUCAAUACUUCACGUAGUGCACCAUGGUAUGCUGAUUAUGAAAACUAUAUCGUUGCCAAAUAUAUACCACCUAGUUUCACAUACCAGCAAAAGAAUAAAUUCUUCUUUGAUUUAAGACAUUACUUCUGGGAUGAUCCUCACCUUUAUAAGGAAGGAGUAGAUGGUGUUAUUAGACAUUGUGUACCUGAACAUGAACAUGGACAGAUCCUACAUAAGUGUGACUCCGAGGCCUACAGAGGACACCAUGCGGGAGAUAGAACUGCACACAAGGUAUUACAAUCAGGUUUCUAUUGGCCAACUCUCUUCAAGGAUGCCCGUAAGUUUGUCUUGUCCUAUGACGAAUGUCAAAGAAUAGGUAAUAUUGGUAAACGUGUGGAAAUGCCUAUGAAUUAUUCACUUGUCAUUGAACCAUUUGAUGUUUGGGGCUUUGAUUAUAUGGGACCUUUUCCAAAAUCCAACGGGUAUACUCACAUCCUAGUUGUUGUUGAUUACGUCACUAAGUGGGUAGAAGCUAUCCCCACUAGUAGUGUUGAUCACAACACCUCUAUCAGGAUGCUUAAAGAAGUUAUUUUCCCUAGAUUUGGAGUCCCUAGAUAUCUAAUGACCGACGGUGGUUCACAUUUCAUUCAUGGUGCUUUCCGUAAAACACUUGCUAAGUACAAUGUCAAUCAUAGAAUUGCAUCUCCCUAUCACCCUCAGUCCAGUGGUCAAGUAGAGCUAAGCAAUAGAGAGAUUAAACUAAUUCUGGAAAAGACUGUCAACAGGUCUAGAAAGAAUUGGUCUAAGAAGCUCGAUGAUGCAUUGUGGGCUUAUAGAACUGCCUAUAAGAAUCCCAUGGGCAUGUCUCCGUACAAGAUGGUGUACGGUAAAGCAUGUCAUUUACCUCUUGAGCUAGAGCAUAAAGCUUAUUGGGCAAUCAAAGAGCUCAACUUUGAUUUCAAACAUGCUGGUGAGAAGAGGUUAUUUGACAUUAGCUCACCUGAUGAAUGGAGAAUUCAGGCAUAUGAAAAUGCCAAGUUGUUCAAAGAAAAGGUUAAGAGGUGGCAUCAUAAAAGGAUACAAAAGCGUGAGUUCAAUGUAGGUGAUUAUGUCUUGCUAUAUAAUUCUCGUUUAAGAUUUUUUUUGCAGGCAAUCUUCUCUCCAAAUGGGAAGGUCCUUACAUUGUUGAGGAAGUAUAUCAUUUCGGUGCCAUCAAGAUCAACAACACGGAAGGUAAUUGUCCGAGAGUGGUAAAUGGGCAGAGAAGCAAGCAUUAUAUCUUAGGUACUCCCAUAAAUGUUGAAAGCAAUAUUAUCAAUACCAUAACUCCGGAGGAGUACCUAAGGGAUAUUUAUCAGCAUGUUUCACACUCCGAAAACGAAGAGGUAUGUGAUUCGGUAAGUAAACCGACUCCAAAACUAUUCCAGUAGGAUUUUUCGUCCAUUUUUGAAUUUUGAAAAAAUAGAAAAUUUUGAAGUAGUCCGAAAAGCGCACGAGGAGGCGACAAGCCUGCCAGGUGCGGGCCACCCCCUGGUCGCGGCUGGGGGGCUUGUGGUCACCUCGUGUGACUCCCGAACUCCCUUUUCUUGCGGAGUACUUCUUCUCGUCUGGAAAAAAUCAUUAUAUCUUCUUCCGUAAGGUCUGACCCUCGUAUCACGCAGAUUUCCUCUGUUUUCGUUUCGAGCCUAUUUUCUGCCGUAGAUUUAGGGCAAGAUGUCUUCUCAGGAUUCAGAGGGGGAGAGCUAUGUGGUCGAUUAUCUUGCUAGCCCCAAGGUCUAUGGGACUUCGAUUGUUAUGGUUGGACCACUAAUGAAGAAGAAGAUUAUGAUCCCAAGGGGAAGGAAGGAACAAUAUCCGAUGAAGAGGAGGCUCCUCUACCUCCACCUGGAGACACCCAUGUGGAGUUCAGGAAGUCGAGCCUCCCUGACUCAAGGAAGAAGCCUAAGACUUUGUUUAUCCCUUCUUGUUUCUUGCAGGAGAGUAAGCAGGAAUUAUGCCAAAGGGUGUUGAGGUUUGAAGAGGAAAAUGAUGAUCUGAGGGAGCAGAAUUUUAUGAUCAAGUGGAAAUUAAACAAGUUCAAGACAUCUGCAACAACUCCACCACCAUCACCUCCAAAGGAAGACAACUAAGCACGGGUAUGGGCAAUCCCCUUGGCUUGUGCCAAGCAUGGGGGAGUUGCCCCCGUAUCGUAUCACAAUCACAUCUUUUGCCUUUACCUUUGUUUUAGUUUGUUCCUUUUCAGUUUUCUCUUUCUCUAGUAGAAUAAAGGUCUUAGUGUUUUAGGCUUGAGUUUUGCUUUGUGUCACCCCCGAUGUAUUCGAGCUCGUGAGCCAUAUGAUGAAGAGUGACUUAGUUAAGGGCCUUGCCUCACGCCAUGAUCAAAAGGAUGAGAAAAGAACAAAAGCAUGAAAGAUCAUGUAAUGAUCUUAUGGGAAGUGAUGGCUUCACAUAUAAAAAGAAUGAUGAUUGAAACUUGUUGAGGGUAGACAAACGUAGACCUUGGUCAUUGUUGCAAUUAAUAGGAAGUGAUAAAGAAGGAGGGGUUCACAUAUAAAUAUAUCAUCUUGGACACCAUCUAUGAUUGUGAAUACUCACUAAACUAUUACAUGCUUAGAAGUAGAUGUUGGACAAGGAAGACAACAUAAUGAAUUGUGUUUGCUUGGUUCCGAACAAUGUUAUAUGACUAGAGAUCCCUUAGCAUGUGACGAUUGCUUCCACCUCAUAUCAGCCAAAACUCCCGCACCAAGUAGAGAUACUACUUGUGCAUCCAUAAACCUUUAACCCAGUUUUACCAUGAGAGUCCACCAUACCUACCUAUGGAUUGAAUAAGAUCCCUCAAGUAAGUUGUUAUCGGUGCGAGCCAUGAGAGGACACACGUCCAAACCUCAAAAGCGCAUGACAAUCUCUGCUUCCUUCUGCGAAGGGCCUAUCUUGUACCUUUACUUUUUGCCCCUGAAAGAGUCAUGGUUAUCUUCACCAAUUCCUUAUUUCGCCUUUAUCUUGGCUAACGUCAUAUGCUAGGNNNNNNNNNNNNNNNNNNNNNNNNNNNNNNUUGCUCGACAGUAAUUAUGCUUGGGAAAGAUCUAUAUUCAUAUGUCAACUUGGAAGUAAGUAUUCAUGAAUUAUUAUUGUUGACAUUACCCUUGAGGUAAAUGGUUGGGAGGCAAAACUAUAAGCCCCUAUCUUUCUCUGUGUCCUACUGAAACUUUGAUCUCAUGAGGACCACAUGAGUUCUAGCAAUUGUAGAGAACGAAAAGAUGAUUGAGUAUGUGGAUUUUCUUUACAAGCUCUUAUUUGACUCUUUUCCGAUGUUGUGAUAAAUUGAAAUUGCUUAAAUGACUAAAGGCUAUCGGCUGUUAAUUCUCGGUAAGGUUCUUGAUCCAUGCUUUACUUUGUGAAGGAAUUGUCACUUUAGCAUAAGAGAUGAUAUGAUGGUAUUGUGUAUCUGAUCAUUAUCAUGUUGCCUGCAUGUUUGUAUCUUGUGUUGUCGACACCUCUCUCCCUAAACAUGCGGGCAUGUUUAUUGAUCUAGGCUUUCUCUUGAGGACAAGCGAGGUCUAAGCUUGGGGGAGUUGAUACGUCCAUUUUGCAUCAUGCUUUCAUGUUGAUAUUUAUUGCUUUUGGGGCUGUUAUUACACUUCACGAUAUAAUACUUAUGUCUUUUCUCUCUUAUUUUGUAAGGUUUACAUGAAGAGGGAGAAUGCCCGCAGCUGGAAUUCUGGCCUGAAAAAGGAGCAAGUUUGAGAUGCCUAUUCUGCGCGACUCCAAAAGCCGUGAAAAUCAACGUGCAUUUUUUUUGGGAUUUAUAAAAAAUACUGGGCCGAAGAAGUGCCGGAGUGGUGCCAGCAGGAGGCCACAAGCCUGCUAGGCACGGCCUCCCCCUUGGCUGCGCCUAGGGGGCUUGUUAGCUCCCUGCUGGCCCACUGCCCCGCCUCUUUUGCUACAAGAAGGCUUUCAGUCUGGAAAAAAAAUCAGGAGGAAGCUUUUCAAAGGAUUCGCUGCCGCCACGAGGUGUUACUUGAGCAGAACCAAUCUAGAGCUCCGGCAGGACGAUCGUGCCGGGGAAACUUCCCUCCCGGAGGGGGAAAUUGUCACCAUCGUCAUCACCAACAAUCCUCUCAUAGGAGGGGACUCAUCACCAUCAACAUCUUUGUAACCACCAUCUCAUCUCCAAACCCUAGUUCAUCUCUUGUAACCAAUCUCCGUCUCGCGACUCCGAUUGGUACUUGUAAGGUUGCUAGUAGUGUUAAUUACUCUUUGUAGUUGAUGCUAGUUGGAUUACUUGGUGGAAGAGUUUAUGUUCAGAUAUUUGAUGCUACUCAUUACCUCUCUGGUCAUGAAUAUGAUUAUGCUUUGUGAGUGGUUACUUUUGUUCCUGAGGACAUGGGAUAAGUCUUGCUAUAAGUAGUCAUGUGAAUUUGGUAUUCGUACGAUAAUUUGAUGUGUUGUAUGUUGUUUUUCCUCUAGUGGUGUUAUGUGAACAUCGACUAGAUAACACUUCACCAUUAUUUGGGCCUAGAGGAAGGCAUUGGGAAGUAGUAAUUUGAUGAUGGGUUGUUAGAGUGACAGAAGCUUAAACCCUAGUUCAUGCGUUGCUUCGUAAGGGGCUGAUUUGGAUCCACUAGUUUAAUGCUAUGGUUAGACUUUGUCUUAAUUCUUCUUUCGUAGUUGUGGAUGCUUGCAAGAGGGGUUAAUCAUAAGUGGAAUGCUUCUCCAAGUAAGGGCAGUAGCCAAGCGCCGGUCCACCCACAUAUCAAACUAUCAAAGUAGCGAACGUGAAUCAUAUUAACAUGAUGAAAACUAGCAUGACAGAAUUUCCCAUGUGUCCUCGGGAGUGCUUUACCUCCUAUAAGACUUUGUCCAGGAUUGUCCCUUGCUACAAAAGGGAUUGGGCCAUUUGCUGCACCGUUGUUACUUUUGUUACUUGCUACUUGCUAUGAAUCAUCUCACCACACAACUACUUGUUACCGAUAAUUUCAGUGCUUGCAGAUAUUACCUUGCUGAAAACCACUUGUCAGAUCCUUCUGCUCCUCGUUGGGUUCGAUACUCUUACUUAUCGGAAGGACUACGAUAGAUCCCCUAUACUUGUGGGUCAUCAUCCGCUUUGAUGCAGCAACCGAGAGGGGAAUAGACAUAUAUUAUGGUUACAUAGUGGACAUAUGGGAACUUGACUACAGACAUGAUUUUAAGGUCUAUUUAUUUAAGUGCAAAUGGGUCAAUCUGUCAGGAGGUGGGGUACAGGUAGACCCACAGUACGGAAUGACAACAGUGGAUCUGAACAAUCUUGGGUACACUGACGAACCGUUUGUCCUAGCCAAUGAUGUGGCACAUGUUAUCUAUGUGAAGGACAUGUCUACCAAACCGAGAAAAAGAAAAGAUAAGGAAGCGAAUACAUCAUACGAUGAGCCAAAGCUCCACAUAGUUCUUUCAGGAAAAAGGGACAUCUUGUGAUUGGAGGACAAGACAUACAUGUUUGAAGAUUAUGAAAAGUUUCAUGAAACUCCUACCUUCAAAGUCAAGGCUGACCCAAGCAUCCUGAUAAAUGAUGAAGAUUAUCCAUGGUUACGGCGCAAUAAGGAAAGGACACAAGCGAAGAAAAAGUGAAGACUUUCUCCACAACUAUUAUGACGAUACCCGUCCAACUUUCAACCUUUUCGUAGUUCAUUUGAAAUGCUUGUUGUAACAGACAAGUUUCCGUAUAAAAUCCUGAUACUUCGAAAGAGAUUGUCCGUUUUGUACACGAAGUGCAUCCAGUUUUGUCCUUAACCCUCUCAACUUUCUUGCAUAUGCUAUGUAGAUGAAAUGAUGAUACCAUGCCAAAUUCCAACCUUUUCAGAUUUCAUUUCAAAUGCUUUUCAAUUUCAGGGUCUUAUAGCUCAAAAUAAUCAGUAAAUGCAUGAAAAAUAACAAAUGAAGUCAGAAAGGGUUGUAAAUUAAUGAUGUGGCUUUGAAUGGUGCAUUUUGAACACAGAAAAACUAUGGAGUUCAAAUAAGUUCAAAAAAAUGAAAUCCCUUUGUAACAGACGAGUUUCCGUAUGAAACCCUGAUACUUCGAAAGAGAUUGUCCGUUUUGUACACGAAGUGCUUCCAGUUUUUGCCGUAACCCUCUCUACUUUGUUUCACAUGCUAUGUGGGUUAAAUGAUGAUACCAUGCCAACUUGGAACCUUUUCAAAGCUCAUUUCAAAUGCUUUUCAAUUUCAUUGUCUUAUAGCUCAAAAUAAUAAGUAAAUGCAUGAAAAAUAACAAAUGAACUCAGAAAGGGUUGUAAAUUGAUGAUGUGGGUUCGAAUGUUGCAUUUUGAACACAAAAAAACUAUGGAGUUCAAAUAAUUUCAAAAAAAAUGAAAUUCCUUUGUAACAGACGAGUCUCCGUACGAAACCCUGAUACUUUGAAAGAGUUUUUUCGUUAUGUAGAUGAAGUGUAUCCAGUUUUUGCCAUAACCCUCUCAACUUUCUUGCACAUGCUAUAUGGAUGAAAUGAUGAUACCAUGCCAACUUGGAACCUUUUCAGAAUUCAUUUCAAAUGCUUUUCAAUUUCAUGGUCUUAUAGCUCAAAAUAAUCAGUAAAUGCAUGAAAAAUAACAAAUGAAGUUAGAAAGGGUUGUAAAUUGAUGAUAUGGCUUUGAAUGGUGCAUUCUGAACAAACAAAAACUAUGGAGUUCAAAUAAGUUCAAAAAAAUGAAAUCCCUUUGUAACAGACGAGUUUCCGUAUGAAAACCGUGAUACUUCGAAACAGAUCGUCCGUUUUGUACACGAAGUGCAUCCAGUUUUUGCCGUAACCCUCUCAACUUUCUCGCACAUGCUAUGUGGGUGAAAUGAUGAUACCAUGCCAACUUGGAACCUUUUCAAAGCUCAUUUCAAAUGCUUUUCAAUUUCAUUGUCUUAUAGCUCAAAAUAAUAAGUAAAUGCAUGAAAAAUAACAAAUGAACUCAGAAAGGGUUGUAAAUUGAUGAUGUGGGUUCGAAUGUUGCAUUUUGAACACAAAAAAACUAUGGAGUUCAAAUAAUUUCAAAAAAAAUGAAAUUCCUUUGUAACAGACGAGUCUCCGUACGAAACCCUGAUACUUUGAAAGAGUUUUUUCGUUAUGUAGAUGAAGUGUAUCCAGUUUUUGCCAUAACCCUCUCAACUUUCUUGCACAUGCUAUAUGGAUGAAAUGAUGAUACCAUGCCAACUUGGAACCUUUUCAGAAUUCAUUUCAAAUGCUUUUCAAUUUCAUGGUCUUAUAGCUCAAAAUAAUCAGUAAAUGCAUGAAAAUAACAAAUGAAGUGAGAAAGGGAUGUAAAUUUCUGAUGUGGCUUUGAAUGGUGCAUAUUUAACAUAGGAAAACUAUGGAGUUCAACUAAGUUCAAAAAAAUGAAAUUCCUUUGUAACAGACGAGUUUCCAUACGAAAGCCUGAUACUUCGAAAGAGAUUGUCCGUUUUGUACACGAAGUGCAUCCAGUUUUUUCCAUAACGCUCUCAACUUUCUUGCAUAUGCUAUGUGGAUGAAAUGAUGAUACCAUGCCAACUUGGAACCUUUUCAGAGUUCAUUUCAAAUGCUUUUCAAUUUCAUUGUCUUAUAGCUCAAAAUAAUAAGUAAAUGCAUGAAAAAUAACAAAUGAACUCAGAAAGGGUUGUAAAUUGAUGAUGUGGGUUCGAAUGUUGCAUUUUGAACACAAAAAAACUAUGGAGUUCAAAUAAUUUCAAAAAAAAUGAAAUUCCUUUGUAACAGACGAGUCUCCGUACGAAACCCUGAUACUUUGAAAGAGUUUUUUCGUUAUGUAGAUGAAGUGUAUCCAGUUUUUGCCAUAACCCUCUCAACUUUCUUGCACAUGCUAUAUGGAUGAAAUGAUGAUACCAUGCCAACUUGGAACCUUUUCAGAAUUCAUUUCAAAUGCUUUUCAAUUUCAUGGUCUUAUAGCUCAAAAUAAUCAGUAAAUGCAUGAAAAAUAACAAAUGAAGUCAGAAAGGGUUGUAAAUUAAUGAUGUGGCUUUGAAUGGUGCAUUUUGAACACAGAAAAACUAUGGAGUUCAAAUAAGUUCAAAAAAAUGAAAUCCCUUUGUAACAGACGAGUUUCUGUAUGGAACCCUCAUACUUCGAAACAGCUUGUCUGUUUUGUACACGAAGUGCAUCCAGUUUUUGCCGUAACCCUCUCAACUUUCUCGCACAUGCUAUGUGGGUGAAAUGAUGAUACCAUGCCAACUUGGAACCUUUUCAAAGCUCAUUUCAAAUGCUUUUCAAUUUCAUUGUCUUAUAGCUCAAAAUAAUAAGUAAAUGCAUGAAAAAUAACAAAUGAACUCAGAAAGGGUUGUAAAUUGAUGAUGUGGCUUUGAAUGGUGCAUUUUGAACAUAGAAAAACUAUGGAGUCCAAAUAAUUUCAAAAAAUGAAAUCCCUUUGUAACACACGAGUUUCCAUAUGAUAUCCUGAUACUUCGAAAGAGAUUGUCCGUUUUGUACACGAAGUGCAUCCACUUUUUGCCGUAACCCUCUCAACUUUCUUGCAUAUGCUAUGUGGAUGGAAUGAUGAUACCAUGCCAAAUUCCAACUUUCCUGAAGCUAAGCAACGUGCAGGUGAGCACUGCGCCACUCCCUUCAUCGUCUCUACACUCAGGGCUUGUAAACCGCUGCGACUGCCUCUUUCUUGGCAAGGUGGGAUUUAAAAAACAGUUCCAGAAAGAAUCAACUAAAAAACUCUCUUACCGGUUCAUGCCACGAACCGGUACUAAAAGGUGCUCGUGGGGCCCCAGCCUUAGAACCUGUACCAAAUAAAAUGCCUUUGUAAUAGACUUAGAACUGGUACUUAAGGAAUCAACUAAAAAGCUUUUAUAAACCUCUAGUAUUAUUGAAACUAAAAUUAUACAGAAUUUAUGCAACUAAAAUUAUCAAAGUGUUUUCUAUUCAAAACAUUAAAAGCAAAAAAGAAUUAUCAUAAAAGAAAAUAAAUAAGUAAUUAGAAUUUUGUUACAAACUUUAAUAGCAAAAAUAAUUAUCAUAAAAGAAAAUAAAUAAGUAAUUAGAAACAAAAAAGAAAGCAAAAAACUGGAAAAAAAAUGAAAAAAAGUGCCACCUACACGGCCACCACGGCCUGCAUACAACUAGAAACCCAUUACUAGCGCCAGGAUGCAGGCCCGUAGUAGGCCCAAUAGGCCCACAAGCACAUAGAGUGAUUUUAGGCCUGUAAGCCUACAGUAGAGAGGAGCUCGAAGUGGUUGGUUCGGCAGGGAUUAUAAACCACUCCGAGCCCCUCUCGGCUAGAGAGGUGGGACUAAACAUAGCACCGCACCACGCUAGUGCAAGGCCUUUGGUCCCGGUUGGUGGCACCAACACGGACUAAAGGGGGGCACUGACCCCGCCGACGCCGUCACCGCCCUCUGCCCCGUCGACACCGUCGUCGCCGUCGUCGCCCCUGCCCCGACCAAGCCGCCGUCCUCUACACCGACCACGCCAUCGUCCUCUACACCGACGUCGCACACCCCCGACCCGCCCCAUCGACGUCGUCGUCGCCCCUGCCCCUAUCUUUUACUUCCCCUCCGGUGCCUACUCCUCCGCCGCCGGCGUGUUCGAGGACGAGUGGCUCGCCGUGGUGGACAAGCCCGCUGGCGUCUACUGCGAGGCCCUCCUCUCUGCCCUCCCUUGCUCCACCGCCUCCUCAGGUACUUCAAAAAGUUUAGGUAGAUCGUGCCAUUAGCUUGCAAUGGCACAGCAAAAUCCUGAGAUACUCUCGGGGUAGUAAAUUUCAAGAGUAGUUCAUGCUGAUGAAACGCAGAUUUGGUUGCUUUCUGCUUUGUGUAGUGUGUACCACUGCAGUUUUUUUGGCGCAGAGGGUGGAUGUGCUAGCCGGAGUGUCUAGCCAUGGCAAGGGCUUGGCGGUUGUCGAGCCUAGCAGCAUUUUCUUUUCUUUCCGAACAAUUUAAUAAUUUUAUGAACUAUGUGUAGUUAUGACUGGAAAUAUUUUUCUUUUCGAUGAAAGAAAAACCAUAUAUCCUUGGAAGCAAGCGUCUAGUCAAUGUAAACAAGAUCGUGAAGCUUAUGAAACAUAUGGACUAUUUUGUUAUUGACGGAAGCAUGUCUGAAGCAGCUUUCUAGUCAUCUAGUUGCCUAGUGGAUGGAAGCAAGAUCGAGAUGCUGUUGUAACAUGUGAAAUAAUUUUAUUUCUUGAUGAAGGCGGUACGAAGCAAUUCUCUAGCCGUCUAGUCGACCGAUGCAAUAUCGUGAUGCUUUUGAAACAAAAUAUCACGUUGGUUACACAAGGCAUACAUUUUAAAUAAAACUAAGCAGAUUUCAUGCAUGAGAUAACCAAAUUCUUCAAUGAACGGAAACAUAUUUUUUAAUUUUUAUAGCAUGAACGGAAAUGUGAAUAAUAUAAUUACGAACAAAGGUGGAAUCAUGUAUUAGUUCCGUUAUAUAUAUAGCUAGGAAGAAGAAAAAGUUUUAUAUAUGCAAAAGUUACAUUUUUAGAAAAGUAUUAUAUAUCUAGCUAGGAAGAUAAGGAAGAAGAAGAAAAAGAAUGAGAGGAAAAAGGAAAAUAAGAAGAGGAAGAAAGGAGAAGAAGAGAAGAGGAAGAAGAGGAGAAAUAAAUAAGAAGAGUAAAAAAUAAGAAAAAUAAGAGGACAAGAAGAAAGGAAUAGAGAAGAAGAAGAAAAAAAUAAAAUAUUUUCUAUUUUUUUAUUCUUCUUCUCCAUUCCUUUCUUCUUCUCCUUUUAUUUCUUUUUUUUUCUUCGAUCGCUUCUCUUCUAUUCCUUUCUUCUUCUCCUCUUUUUAUUUCUUCUUUUGUCUUCUUAUUUUUUAUCGGGUAUGUCGUUAUCGAUAUACCCCCUCCCGAUAACCUUAACACGAGGGGGGCUCGAUAUACCCCCCUCCCCGAUAACAUUAUUUUCCCAUGUAUGUAUGUCGUCGUUGUGGAUAUAACCCCCCCUGGAUAACUUCGACAUCGGGGGCGGUCAAUAUAUAUACCCCCUCUCGACUGUGAUAACUUAUACCACGGGAGCACCCCCCCCCCCCNNNNNNNNNNNNNNNNNNNNNNNNNNNNNNNNNNNNNNNNNNNNNNNNNNNNNNNACCCCCCCCCCCGACCCUCUCGCUCGACCAAAACUCCCGAGGACACCCAAACCCUAGAAAAAAUGAUGUUGGUCUCCUACCCCCUCACGCUGCACCCCUACCCGACAAACUCUCUCGAGGACACCCAAAUUUACCAAGUUAAAAGAGCGUUGUCGUCGAGGCCACCCCAAACCCUUGAAGCGUUGCGGAGGCCACCCCAAACCCUAGAGAAGCAGCGUCGUUGCCACUAAUAUGAUUCUUUAUUGUGAUUAGCUAGCUAGUUCUACGUUUGCCACUAAUAUAUCCAUCUAUCAUGUUUGAAUAAUAAUUGCCAUGUUGUAAAUAUUUGCAGAAACUAUGGAGCACCCCCGAGACGAAGCAACAGAAGAGAUGUUGGGGGAAAUAAUCGCAAAAGGAAGUGAUGUCGUCUUGUCGUUUCUCAACGACACCGAUGGUCUGGAAGGACAGGGUGAAGAAGAAGGCUAUGAUUAUGAUGGCUCCGGUGACCCAUUAAUGCUGGUACAAGAAGAAGGCUAUGAUUAUGAUGGCUCCGGUGACCGAAUCGAGUGCGGCCAGGUAUAUAUAUUAGUUAAGCAUGUGCUGACUAGCUAAUUGAUGCAUUCAUUAUUUUCGUAUGUACACAUAUUAAUUAACUCUCGUCUUCCUUCUUUUCCUAGCCCUCCGGAUUGAGCACAAAUUCGAUAAAGAGACGAGGCCCGAAGAAAAAGUUGCGCUCGGAUAAAAGGUUUGAGAUCAUAGCAAUCGCGCGUGAUGGCAAGCUGAUUUAACCAUACCGGACAAUGGAAGCAUUUUCUAAUCAGUGCGGGGUUCUUGUUAGGGACAAGAUCCCGAUUAGUACCCAGCGAUGGUUAAAGCCUAAGAAGGAAGACCCUGAGGUGUCUUAUGUCUCCGAUAGCAGAAAGAAGAUCUUUGGACAAUGCUUAAGACAAAUUUCACCCUACCGCCAGAGGAGGAUCCGGAGAAGCCAGUUAUAGAGCAAUUGAUCAAGUCUCAUGCUCUUAAGAACUAUUCAGGAGGUGGAAGAAUGAGCUGAAAACGUUUGUCGACAAAGAAAUUACACCAGAAUUCACCGGCCGGUUUGAGAAGAUCAGAUAUCACUGGCCCGCAUUUGUGGCCCACAAGACAUCGGAAAAGAGUAAGAAGAUGUCAACAACAAACAAGAAAAAUGUUGCAAAGAAGAAGCAUCACCAUCGCAUGGGGCCAGGUGGCUACCUCAAAGCCCGACCAUUGUGGGACAAGGCUGAGAAUGACCUGAUUGCUAAAGGGGUCGAACCAGAGACAUUGAACUGGCCAGACCGUUGCCGUAAUUGGUUCUUCGGGGUUGGCAGAACCUUGGACCAUAUAUCAGGGAAGUGCGUUUGGACGGAAGAGCAACUGUGAAUACCCGUCACGAGGCUUAAGGAGUAUAUCGAGAAAGCGCAGCAAGGGAUGUUCGUUCCACACACAGAGAAGGACGAGCUCACAAUGGCCCUCGGGAAUCCUGAGCACCCUGGACGGACACGAGGCAUGCCAGGCUCCGUUCCGUGGAAGGUUGGGUUUCCGGACGUAGGGGGUUACAAAUGCGAGGAGAGGAGGAAGAAAGAGGAGCAUACCAACUGCAGGCGCUGCAUGAAAGGGUACAAGGGCUAGAGGAACGAGAAGGAGAUCGCAGCAAAUGACCUGCCGAAGCUUCCCUUGAAGCUACCCCGCCAUCUCAGCGGAGAAGCAGCAUGGCUUCCACCGAGCAGACUCAGCAGCUGGAGCCUGUCUUCACGGCUCUUGCUAGCUACCUCGUGGAUGCUAUCACGGAGUCUCAACAUUGCCACCUUAUGGCGCGAUGGGUGACAUUGAAAGUCAAGGCGGCUGUUGGAGCUAUUUUACCUACUGAACCAGGCACAACCUACCACGGCCGGUCGAUUCCAGAAGGAUAUGCUAGGGUGAUGGUGGAUCAAAUAACGAACGGAUUUGAGGACCCUCAGCUUGACCACCCUACGGGUGAAGGGGAGAUUCGGUUGGGUUCUUCUCUAAAGACUUCAUGCCUAUGGCGGAAGGAGCUCAUCAACCUUCCGAACUGGACGCCUCCGCCUCCUCCUCCUCCUCCUCCGGCGAGUUAGGUCACUCCGCCUCCUCCUUCGGCGAGUGAUCAGGGCACUCAGUCUCCUUCUCCGACGCGUGGCGGCACUCCGCCUCCUUCUCCGCCUGCGCCGGCGAGCCCGAGCAGCCAGCCUCCUCCUUCUCCGCCUCGUCAACAAGGGCGGAAGAGACCCACCGUCGCUCCGGCUGCUCCGGCGCAUCGUCCUUCUCCUCCGCCUCGUAAGAAAUGAAAGACAGCCGCAGCCGCUCCGUCUGCUCCGGCGUCUAGCAGUACAACAAGAGGCAGACAAUGCAAAUACGGUCCUUCUCUGAAGACUCCAGAGAAGUUACCAUACGAGAGGAGCCAGGAGGAAAACACGAAGAUCGUGCAAGUCGAAGUGAACAACUUCUUUGAAAGGGUGAAAGCAAAGAAACAUCCACCUACGGAGGAGAAGAUAGAUCCGGUAAAAGUGAAGCGUACUCUGGCUGCCUUGAAGAAACCACCAAAGUCUCCGGCGAAAGCCAACUAUGAGCGCAUUAUUACAAAGUCAUUUAUCGAAGCGAAGUGGUUGGGAAAUACUGUCAGUGGUCAAAGGUUAGCAGAACGACGAGCUGGGAAAUAACUUGCCCAACUCGGCGAACAAGUGAACCAAUCGUUCCCCCGCUCAAGGUGUCUAGCGAUAUUUUCGCUAAUCAUCCGGGGAUCUUGUUGCCCGGUACUAAUCGUGGAGAUUACCUGCCCUACGAUGCACAUUUUGAUUUCUUGGAGGUGGACGAACACAAAUACGUGUACGGGAAGCCUCUCGUCAAAGAUGAAAGAUCUCUAACAACGAUGAUGCGAAGAUUCCAUGAUUGGUACAUGAAAACCUACAGAGACUCUGAGGCGAGUAAUAUUUUAACGCUCAGUGUUAGAGAGGAGCAUGACCUCUUUGGAAUUGAACUGUUGAAUGUUCCAUUUGAGGAGUUCUUACCAUUUUUCAAUCUAAAGGCCCUCGAUAAAUUAAUGAUCACUUGCUACUGCCUGUAAGUAGUACUACUUCUGUCAUUAAGUCUCUAUAUAUAGGUCAGCUCUUUCAUUGCAUGUAUUUUUAAUUAUCCUCACUGUAUUAUGCAGACUGAAGAUCGUCGAAUUAAAGAAAAGACAAAUCGGUGAUAUUGGGUUCAUUAACACAAAUCUCAUAGAUGCAUUUAUGGUUGAAUUUCAGGCCAAAGAUACCGAGGCCAACCUGCUACAAUUGUUUGUACUGAAUCAAAACAAAGCUAUAAUACUCUUCCCUUACGAAUUCCAGUGAGUGUUACUGUCUUGUGCAUAUUCAGUUUCCCUUAUUAGUCAAGGUUAUAGUAAUGUAAUUGAUGAGUUAUGCAUACGUGCGCAGCUGCCACUAUAUUAUCCUAGAGAUUAAUCUUGAGCAAGGAAUAGUAACCGUCUUAGACUCGAGACGAAAAGAUCCCAAGGAGUAUGCGGACAUGACUGAAAUUCUACAGAAGUAAGUUAAAUCGAUCAUUAUCGCACCAUAUCGGCAACUUUAUUCAUUUCCUCAUAUCAAGUAAUUGUUUUCUUUGUCUGGCAGGGUUUGGAAAAAAUUCACAUCAAAAACUCCGGCACUGCCGAAGAAGCUACAAUUUAGACACCCAAAAGUAAGUACUAUAGUAGCAUGUGCCAUGCAUCUCCUAGUGAUUCAAGCGCUAGUUUCAUCAAUACCAUUUAGCAUGCUUGCUAACUAUCAGUUUGAUUGACCUCAAUUUCUUGUAAAGUGGUUGUGGCAGGAACCAGGCAAUGAUUACUGUGGAUACUACAUUUGCGAGUCCAUCUGCCACACGACCUGUGAGCGGGGCUACUCUGACAAACAAUAUGAAGUGCGUAAAUAAUAAUAUUCACAAUUUUAUUUUAGUACCAUCAUUUGUGUUCAGUUUCAUUUAUUCAUAUAUAUGUAUUGACCCCCUUCUUCAAAUUAGAUAUUUCGGAUGCGGGAUGAACUCCUACCACCAGAUCGUAUGCGAGGAAUUCAAGAGGAAUUGGCGGCAUUCUUUCUUGACCAUGUGAUCGCUAAAGACGGAGAAUACCAUGUGGACCCUAAUCAGUUGGUUUUUAAUUAGGAGAUUAUAUUGUAAGAGAUAAUUAUAUUGUGUAUAUGUAGCCAGUAGCGCCGGAUAGACAUACGAGAACUUGUUGUUCGACCAAUCUCUCACAGAAGGAGAUGUGGUCGAUAUCACUUCUCUGUGUAUGCAUAUGUUCAUGACGAUCUUCUGUUUCCUUCAUUUGCUUACUAGCUAGCGUGUCUAGUCCUCUUUAUACGUAUAAUACGUAGCAUCGACCAAGCACAGAGAUAAGAGAGGACAUUUCUCUCUAUUAAUUAGCUAGCUAACACAAUAUAUGAAACACCUAUUAACCCCCCAAAACCCCCUNNNNNNNNNNNNNNNNNNNNNNNNNNNNNNNNNNNNCCAAAAAAAAAAAACAAAAACCCCAGCACCUGAAAAUGCUGACGCGUGGAUGCCUAUUGGUCCUGGUUGGUGCCACCAACUGGGACCAAGGGGCCUCCUGCCUGGGCUCGCCGCACCGGCCACGUGGAGGCCCAUCUGUCCCGGUUCAUGUAAGAACCGGGACUAAAGGCCAAAGGCAUUAGUAACGACCUUUUUGUCCUAGUUCCAAAACCGGGACAGAAGGCCCUUACGAAUCGGGACAAAAGGCCCUUCUUCUACUAGUGAUGACAUGGCCAUUAAGCACAAUCUCUGUCAGUAUUAGGUGGAGCCGGGCGGGACCCACAUUUUUCCAUGUCGGCGUGGGACCCAGAUGGAGGCUACUACGGUUAAAUAGUUUUCCCUUGCGCGCGCAUCCUCCCUCUCCUUCUUCUCCGGCGACGAAGCACCGCAACGCUGGUGAGCUCCGAUUUAGACAAGAAUAUUUACAAUCAUUCAAUCAAAAUUGAUCGAAUUCAAGCAACAUAGAUAGAGAUUUUAGCAAACAUAGCAGAUAGUUUGGUUUGAUUACACACGGAGUAGUAGCCGUAAUUUUAAUGGCGAGCUCAUCGGAGCAAAAGCCACACGGAGUACUUCGAUUACAUAACUCUACGCGGGUAUCUCGCAGCUCCUACCCCUAGUUAGAUCUCCAAAAUUGGGCUCACCUGAGCCCCAGGGGUGCGGCCCCGACGAGGCGGCGGCGCCGCUCAGUCGGAGUCGGAGGCGGAGGCAGCCCACCCCCUGUCGGCGCGGGAUUUCUCGAUGCCUUGCUGGAAGCGGAACUCGUCGAGCUCCUCUUGCAUCUGCCGGCGUGCAACGAGCUGUUGCGGAUCGUCCUCGGUGUGCUCCAUAAUCUCGGCGAUUACGCCGUCGAGGUCGCCGGCGUCGACGUAGUCUCCUGGCAGAAAGACGAGGUGUCUGGGCGUAGUGCCAAGCCCAGCUCCUCCCCCUCCCUCUUCGGAGGCGGCAUCGGUGCGCGUGCAAUGGAGGAGCUCCCCGCGCCACCCGCGCCAGAGGAGCUCCCAAGUGGUCGCCUCGCACCGCAGUCUCGUGCCGCCGCCGCCAUCUAGCGGUCGUACUCCUCCACCUCGUGCCGAUUGAACGCACGGAGUGGCACGAGCCCCCAUUUCAUGUACUUGCACGCGAUGUGCUUCCGAGCAGCGUCGGAAGCAACCAGCGCCGCCCGUUCCAGGUCAGAGUCGGGCGCCGACCGCUUCGCCCCUUUCUAAUCCUUGUCGGAGAGGUUUCCACCGCCGGAAUGGCCGUCGCGCGAGCUGAAAGAUCCGGGCCUCAUGAUCGUCGCACGGCAACGCUUGAUCUGCGGCGGCGGGCCUGGAUUGCGUGCGUUUGAUGGUCUCCGGCGGCGAGAGUGGCGCAUAUUUGGAUGUGUAAAUAGUUAGGGUACGACACAUUUUAUCGCAUAACUAGAGGAUUUAACUAGUAACACUAACAUCCCUGGCCCAUGAGUCAGAUUGACCGGUGAGCCCCCCACGUGAGCUCGAAUAAACCUUUUCUAUUUACUGAAUAAUCCAAAAAAUGUUAUAAACUUGUAAAUUCGAUAUCUUUUGCAAUGCAAUUCAUUUAAACGGAAUUGUCAACACAUCAGUACCCUAUACAUCAUCUUGCACACGCAAAAUCACUUGUCAAAUUCAUUUUCAUGUUUGAAACUUGUUUAAAUGUUGGUCAAACUUAGGUUUGACCCAAUUUGAAAUGAGCAUAAAAAAUCAAAAAAUUUGAAAACCAGUGCACAUGUUCUUAUUUUGUCAUAUACUAACAACUCAAAUUGAUUUGGCUGUUUUAGACAUGGUGGACAAAAAACUUGCUUAGAAAUGGGUUGUUUAUCCUACCUUUGGAGCUAAUUUGGAACUCAUGUGUGAAGACAAGUGGUUUUGGGUGUUGAACUUGAAACUUCCGAAAACCUGACGAAAUCUUCAUUUUGGAGUGACUAAGAAGGAUCCACGCCUGGUUUUCAUUUUCAUGUUUGAAAUUUGUAUAAAUGUUGGUCAAACUUAGGUUUGACCAAGUUUUUAAUGAGCAUAAAAAAUUCAAAAAAAUCAAAAAAUUGGAAAACCAGUGCACAUGUUCUUACUUUGUCAUAUACUAACAACUCAAAUUGAUUUGGCUGUUUUAGACAUGGUGGACAAAAAACUUGCUUAGAAAUGGGUUGUUUACCGUACCUUUGGAGCUAAUUGGAAAUUCAUGUGUGAAGACAAGUGGUUUUGGGCGUUGAACUUGAAACUUUCAAAAACCUCACAAAAGCUUCAUUUUGGAGUGACUAAGAAGGAUCGAGGCUUGGUUUUCAUUUUCAUGUUUGAAACUUGUUGAAAUGUUGGUCAAACUUAGGUUUGACCCAGUUUGAAAUGAGCAUACAAAAUUCAAAAAACACAAAAAAUUGGAAACCGAGUGCACAUGUUCUUACUUUGUCAUAUACUGACAACUCAAAUUGAUUUGGCUGUUUUAGACAUGGUGGACAAAAAAACUUGCUUAGAAAUGGGUUGUUUGAAAACCAUACAACCUUGUUGGUGAUAGUCAAGUUUGUGAAGGCUUUUUCAUGAAAAACUCCAUAGUCCAAGUUUCUUAUUUUUUCUAUCGAGUUAGUUCAUAGAACGAUGAUUGGCACAAGUUUUCUAUUUUUUGAUUUUUUUUAAUUAGUUAUGCUCGACCCUAACCCUUGAAAACCCUACAACCUCGCUCAUGAUAGCCAAGUUUGUGAAGUCUUUUUCAAGAAAAACUCCAUAGUCCAAGUGUAUUAUUUUUCCUAUCGAGUUAGUCACAUAGAACGAUGAUUGGCACAAGUUUUAUUUAUUUAUUUUUUGAAUUAAUUAUGCUCAACCCUAACCCUUGAAAACCUCUCAAAACCCCAUCAAAACCCCGCACCUGUCCGGACCAUUGGAUCACCGUGAAUGGACGGUCUGGAUUAGGCAGUAGGGCUACGUCAACGAUCCAAGGGUUGUGCUUUCAUUGGCUGGUCUUUUUAGCUCCUUUCUUUUGGCAGCAUUCUGAAGCAUGGGUCCACACAGAUUGAGGAGGCGUGCCCCGCGUUUUUGAGCUUAAUUUAAUCUGGCCCACCCCUUGGACCGUCUCUUUCUUUCUCUGCAAAAACGAGGAGCCCGGCCGGCCCAGCUCCACCUAAACGUUACGCUCCUCCCCCUCGAUUAACUGAAGAAUUGAUGGGCAUGGUUUCAGACAUGAUGGAUGCCACGAGGGCAACGUGGAAGGAGGAUCUGAUUCAUUUGGUUUUCCUACCGGCUGACGGUGAUACAAUUCUAGCAAUUCCAUUGUGCACGAUACCGAUAGUUGAUUUCUAGGCAUGGUUGUUCGAAAGAACUGACCUCUUCUUGGAUAGUUCAACAUACAAAAUGGUGAUCAAUACUAGGGAGAAUAGUGUGAAUGGAAAUGUUGGUUCAGCUGGGGCUCACGGGACUCUAGAAGGGAUGGAGGGGCCUUCCUCGCAGUCACAUACUAUACAUCGGAUGGGGGGUGGAGGGGCCCUCCGGAUUCUUACCUGAAGAUCAAUGUAGAGAUUGUUGUAUCACACGACUGCACACAGGGAGUGGCAGCCGCUAUAUGUCGUGACCGCGAUGGUUUUUUCUAAGGAGCUUCAGCGAUGGUUUUCAAGGGUAUAGGGGAUGCACCUACACUCGAAACUCUGGCGAUUCGGGAGGCUUUUUCCCUAGCAAAUGAUCUAUACAUUCAGCAUAUACAUAUUGCUUCGGAUUGCAAGGUGGUGGUUGACGAUAUCAAGGACAAGCAGCCUACAACAUACAAUGCUAUUUUACAUGAAAUUUUAGAACACAAAUCGUCUUUUCAAGCAUGCAAUGUAGUGCAUGAAUAUAUGAGCCCAAAUGUCGAGGCUCACAAUUUAGGGAAAUAUGUUUUGAGGUUAGGGGAAGGCCGACAUGUAUGGCUAGGCACCCCGGGAGAUUUAUCAUUUGUACCUUUGAACGUUGAUCAAUAAAGUUUCGCGAGAUUGACUAAAAAACUGAAGAAUUGCUGCACUCUGUUAAUUGAAGAAUUGCUGCUUUUUAUGAAUUCAAUUGCUGCAUUUUAUUCGUCAGGGGAAGCAAAUAAUCAAUGGACUACCUAGAACUAUAACUGAGAAUAUCAUUACAAGAAUUCAGGCAGGUUUAGCUUCACACAAAUUCAAAUUGAGCUAACAAAUGAUCCAUGACUAACUGAAACUACUUGCUUGACGCACUAAGUGAAACUCUAACAAGUUCUAGCGAUUGAUGAACAUCAAGUAAAAGAAACCCGGGCCACACAAGAAACCCAUAGAAAUGACACAACAAUAAAAUGCUCCAGCCAUCAUACUUGCUAGCUGCUUCAAAUCGAUCAGCUGCUUUAGUUGCUUGUGGAUCAAUCUUUGCAAAUUCAAUCUCCCACUUCACAAUUGUAUCUCCCUCUAUGUCCUGCAUGCUACCAUCACCUAGCUUCUCCUUAGAAAGAAGAAAUUCCACAGUGAAUUCGAACGUCCGAGCACCACCACCCUUGUUUGCCAAUGACGGGGCAGUGUGAGGUGAGCUAGCAGAAGCAGACGAGGCACAAAUCGCAUAGGUUGGAAAGGAUGUUGUUGUCUCUCGCGGCUCCAUCGCGGUCACCUCUCCUCCCCCCCACCCAAACCUAGAUCAAAUCGACCAAAAACAGGCAAUGCGGUGAGAUCUAACUCGACACAGAGGAGAAGAGGACAGGGUUCCGGAUUCACUCGCCACAGCCGACGCCGUCACCGAGAAUGAAAGCCCCGUCGUUGCUGUCAUCGAGAACAAAAGCUCUGCCGCCGCCGGCGGCGACUCACCGCCAGAAACGAAGAGGAGGGAGCAACACAGGUUCAGACAGGGGUACCCGUUCGGACAGGCACGGGGACACGUUUCACCUGGUGCAGUGACAAGUGGGGCCCAUAACUAGAUGCACUGCCGAGUAGGGACCGUGCUUACGUGGAUAAGUCGUGGGUCCAGCCCCUAACAGCUAAUUAGGGCAUCAGUUCAUAUUAAGGGCCAUGUCGUGUCUGGGCUAUUUCCUUGCUUAAAAUUGUCGCACCAAGGCAAUUUGAAGGAAAGACGUCUCACUCCUAAUUUACCUCAAAGGUGUCGCACCUGAGCUAUUGACCCUGCAUCACCAUGGCUGCAUUGGAGAAUUUUACUUCUUCGCCCUCUACACCAACUAAUAAUGCACAGAGGAUAUCUAGUCUUGGUUAUGCAUCGAGCCUAGUCCUUAAUAUAUACGUGAGUAUCACAAAAGACUGGUCCUCAAAAAUAAAUAGAAAUCUAUAUUCGUUUUGGAAGAAUUUAACCCUAGGUCUUCAUUCUCUCACCAGGUUGAAUUAGACUCACUUCCUACAACCUUUUGAAGCACUAUCCGUCGUGUCUGUCUAGCAACUAGUACAACCUAGAACAAAAAGGACACCACUUUCUGCUCUCAUAAUGCAAAAAUUCUAUACAACGGAAUUCAGCCCACUGAUCAAUAUUAUCUUAUCACCGACUUAAACUAGUAUACUAAGUAUCUGCUAUUAACAACAGCCGACGAAACCAUUCGAUACCACAAACUCUGCCGCUCCAUGACAUGGAAGGUGUGAGGUGACAUGCCAAGAGGACUAAACAAGCCACAACAAUUUCAUAGACCAACUAUUAUAGAACUAAUAAAGUACCAUCACUGGGCCACUAAUCAGUAAACCAAACCCUGCCCCUAUCAUCAUCCACUAAUCACCAAGUGGCAGCAAGCAAAGAAAAAAUAAACACAUUAUCAACACCACACACACAAUGCAGAGAAGCCAUGAUUGACCUCCGCUAUAAAAAGCACUCCAAAGCCACUCCCUUUCCUCAUCUCUCUCUCGCUCACCUAUACAUCAUCAUCUCCUCUGCCUAACAAGCUAAGCAGCUCAGCUCAAGCAUCGGCAAUGGAGGGCAAGGAGGAGGACGUGCGUCUGGGCGCGAACCGGUACUCGGAGCGGCAGCCGAUUGGGACGGCGGCGCAGGGCGGCGGCGCGGACGAGAAGGACUACAAGGAGCCGCCGCCGGCACCGCUGUUCGAGGCGGAGGAGCUGACGUCGUGGUCCUUCUACCGCGCGGGGAUCGCCGAGUUCCUGGCCACCUUCCUGUUCCUGUACAUCAGCGUGCUCACGGUGAUGGGCGUGGUGGGCAACCCCUCCGGCUCCAAGUGCGGCACCGUGGGCAUCCAGGGCAUCGCCUGGAGCUUCGGGGGCAUGAUCUUCGUGCUCGUCUACUGCACCGCCGGCAUCUCCGGCGGCCACAUCAACCCCGCCGUCACCUUCGGGCUGUUCCUGGCCAGGAAGCUGUCGCUCACCCGGGCCGUGUUCUACAUGGUGAUGCAGUGCCUGGGAGCCAUCUGCGGCGCCGGGGUGGUGAAGGGGUUCCAGACCACGCUGUACAUGGGCAACGGCGGCGGCGCCAACUCGGUGGCGCCGGGGUACACCAAAGGCGACGGCCUGGGGGCGGAGAUCGUGGGGACCUUUGUGCUCGUGUACACCGUCUUCUCCGCCACCGACGCCAAGCGCAGCGCCAGAGACUCCCACGUCCCC
rnacentral:lncRNA from 1 species